AAAGAAAAAAAAAAGUCGCAUACACUCACCUUCUAAGGCUCGACAGAGAGGGUGACCUCACGUUUUUCGGGAUUAUCUCCUUUAUAAGAAUAAAAUGUUAGAGGCUCUUUCUUUGUGAAAAGAGAAAAAGAAAAAGGAAAUGGCAUUGCUGGCUUGUCCACCUUGCAGUUGCGUUGGUUCAAGAUUGCUGCAACAAAAGCGGCCAGUUGUUUGUUUCUCAAAUCCAAGGAAAUUCCUCGUCAAAUGUGUCUCGCAGAAGAAACAAGUUGAGUUGGAAAGGCUGUUCUCCAACCUCAACCAAACCACAUUGAAGAGAGAACCGGGAAGUCUAUCCAGCGCUGUUUUCCUAGUCGCAGGGACCACGGUACCCUCUCUAUCUAUCUUUCUUUCUUUCGCUUCCUCCCUCCCUCUGUUUAACAGAACAUAACAGAUUUACAUGCAGGUGGGUGCUGGUAUCCUCGCAAUACCUGCAGUGACCCAAGAAUCUGGAUUUUUGGCGACUGCAAUCACCUGCGUUUUUUGUUGGGCAUACAUGGUAAGUAUGAGUGAGUAACUAACCACCCCUUUCUUCUUUUCUUUCUUUUUUUCUUUUUGGAGUCCCCUUUUUUUUUUUUCUUUUUUUUCUUUUUAGUUGGCCAUACAUGCUAAGUAUUUUGUUCUGCAGGUUGCAACAGGUCUGCUAAUUGCCGAAGUUAAUAUAAAUACUAUGUCCCAACUUGGUUCCACUAGUGUAUCACUGGUACUUCAUUUCUCUCUCUUUGCUCAUUUUGAAUCUUGCAUAUGUACCGUCUGAACCCUAAACUCAUUUACUACCUCACUGGCCACACUUGUGCUGUUUCGAUAUCAUCUAGACCUGAUAGGAGAAGAUGGGAUAUAGUUAUUUUCUCAAUGAGGCUAGCUCUUCGGUUUCCCUAUCUUUGUAAAUGUAUUCAAGAAAAGAAAAUGUACGGAACACUUUCAAUGUAUUGCUCACAUGUUGUAUCCAGAAAGAAAAAGAGAUAUUCCAUCUAUCUCUUCCAAUUGAUAUCCCCUCCAUCAUGUUUAAAUUUUAUUACCUCCUUAAUAUUGCAUAUACACUAUCAUUCUCUGUAUAUUGUAUUGCUUACAACUCUGUCUUGCUAAGAACAAAUAUUAGGCUGACAACUUCAUAGCAUUUGGAUCCUGAUAUAGUUGUCUUCUGACUGACUUCAGGUAUCCAUGGCUAUGAGGACUCUAGGUGAUGUGGGAGUUCAAAUUGUUUGGUAGGUUACUAAAUUUUUGAAGCAUGUAUAACAACAUGCAUAUUUGGGGUGGAAAACAUAUUGCUUGAUAGUUAUUGUGCUGAUAGCCUACGGUUGUUAUUUUUGAAGACUGCAUUUUUUUUUUUUCAGAGUUUGUGGUUAAAUUUUUUUUGAAGACAUCUACUGUAUUGCCUUUCUCUGGUAUGUUUCAAUGCAAAAUCUCUUAGCUUAGGUGAUAGUUAUUUUGAAUCUGGUGGGAGGCUGGUAGCUAGGUGUUAAGGUGGUCCACUCUCUUGAUCUUUCAUUCUUUUCUAAUUACUAUCCCUUUCGGUCAUUUACAUAUCAAAUUCUGUUAACUUCUUCACAUGUCUAUUGACAUCCAACAUUUUAUUGGUAUACAAUGGUAAUUUGGGGGAACAGGUCAUGCACAGAAUCAAUGUCUGUGAUUGAAAAGGCGAAAAAUCGAGAGAGGAAUGAAUUAGAAUAUCCAAGCAAAAAUUCGAAAAUGAAACAUGAACCGAGUAAGAUCAGGUAGAGUCAUACUACUCAUAGACUGAAAAUAGUAGCAACGUUGAUAUUCUACCGGAAAGAUCCAUCAACAACUGAUAUCUAAACCGAAACCACCAACUGGUGCUUCUUACCUAGUUACAUUGAAGCAAAAUAAGUGAACAGUUUGUGUCAUUAAUAUGAACUUCAAAAUUUUUUAUUUUCAUGAUCCGAGACAUAUGAAAGGAAAAAAAAAAAAAAACUUCUGCACUGCUUGUUUUAUUUUAUAUAUAAUAUAUGUAUUUCCUCACUUUCUGGGUGCUAGAUAGUUUGUUUUCUUGUCUCUUAUAAGCAUAUUUUACCAUUUUGUCUCAGUACAUUUCUGUUUUCUCUAUUCUUUAUGGUUUCUGAUGGUGACGUGCAUUAUCCUGCAGUUGGACGUACAUUUUUAUACAUUACGCACUUCUUGUUGCCUACGUUGCUCGUUCUUCUGAAAUUUGGACAAAAUUUGUUGGCAUUCCCUUGUAAGGAGCAAAAACUGUAGCACUUUAUUUGACAAAAUGUCACGCCUUCUUUGCUCUUUCUCAUAUCUGUAGAUUGCCUUUGUACAGUACUUUUUAUAUUUCAAAUACAUAUCUACGCUUGUUAGGUGUUGAUGGCGACACUAUGGUUGCAGAUGGGAAAGUGCAACAUUGUUUUCAUUGGUUUUGGGAGGCAUCUGCUACUUUGGAAGGUUUGUCUGACUAUUUGAAACUUGGUGUAUUGUUUUACUUUUCAUUUCAUUUUUUAUACCCCAGAAGUCCCCAGACCCACUUCGUGGACCAGGACUCGAAACUGGGGUCUCCUGCGGAAACCAGAGUCCUUUACAGACAGGAAAUUCUACUACGUAGGUAUUGUAACAGGAUUCGAAUCCCUGACCACAUGGGAACAAAACCACAGGCCUGAACUACCUACUAACCCAUCAUGGUUAUGUGUUUUUAUAUUGUAUGCACAAAAAAAUAAACAUUUUUCAAUAAUAAAAGACUGAGUUACAAAGGCCUGUAGAAUAUUAUACUGAAUGGAAUCGUAGACCACUGUCGUUAGGUAUCACCUCUAGUAAAAAAAUACUGAUCAUUAUUAAAAAUAGAAUUGAAACCUAUGAUGCAUGUAUUAGGAAACAUGCAUGAUGUUGAACAAGCAUAUGGUCACAUUAUAAAGGUCAGUUUUCAGUGUUCAUAUCUGCAGAUGUUCGUAUGAUCACAUGAGUAAUGAGUUGUGUGCUAAUGUGGCUAUCAAACAUAUUUGCCGUGCUUGGUUUAGUUUAUCUGGAAGUUUCUAUCACCACUUGGUGGUUUAAUCAUCAAAGAGAGGGAAACCUUAGUUCAUGCAGAGGAUAUUCAAGAAUGCAUUUCAUGCAUUAUUAUUAUUAUUUUUUUUUGGCCAAAGACAUGCAUUUUGCAAGACAACCAUUCCACCCAGCAAGUUCAAGCUGAAUGAGGCAACACCUAUAUUUAGCAACCCUCCUUGGUACCCUGCCACGAAAUGCUCGAGGGUGUAAUACAAAAAAGUAUAGGUGCCAUCUCAUCUUGAAAUCGGUGGCCUGGGGAAUUAUGCGGAAUGGGAUGAGGUUACUAAUGUGGGACCUCCUAGACUCGUUCUUUUACCAAUUUAUACAGCUAAGGUGCUAGUAAAUCCCGAAGCUUAAGCUGCAAGAUGAUGGGCCAAAUGUAUAAGCUAGAAACAGUUGCAUGCUAAAUCUCCGAAAGGAAGUUCAAAUAUGAUGUAAAUUUUGGUAUCUCUGUCUUUUCUAUUUGAAACUGAACUAUAAACAUGUCUUCACAUGCAGUCAGCGAUUCAUUGGUGCGGUUAAUGGGGUUCUGGUAACUGGAAUCAUCAUAUCUUUUGCUGCUCUUGUGGUAACUCUCUCUCUCUCUCUCUCUCUCUCUCUCUCUCUCUCUCUCUCUCUCUCUCAACGAUGUACAUGUAUUUUUUUUUUAUUGUUAAACUUUUGGAGGAGAAAAUACAAAACUCAUUAAUCAGGAAACUGAACAUUAGAGUUGAUUAGACAGUCCAGCACCAAAAGAAGACAGUAUACAAGAAUACACUUUCCAACACCAAAUCAGGACACUGCAGCUCUCCAGUGGUUGUUGAGAAGUCUCAGUGGAUUCCAGUAACUGUUUUGGUGUGAUUUUUCCCUUUCUCUAUAGAUCCUUAACCCCAAUAUGCAUCCCCACAGAGCCAAGCUCCGACAUGAGCACAUCAACCCUAGGUUGUCCUACAUCACAAUGAACCAGAAUGGGUAACAAAAUAGCCCUUACACUUCUGUAUUCGUGUUUGAGUUUGAGGUAAUAAUGUAGACCCUAAAAAUACAAACACUUUAAUCAAUAUAAUUAUUGCGACACAAUCAAUAGAAUAUGUUCAGAAUCUAGAUAUAUAUGCACAAGGACAUAAUUGAUACAACUGUGACUUUAUGGAAGACGAAUAAAAGUCAUACUAUCUAACUAUGAUUCUACGAUUUUGUGAUUGGAAAAUGUAAAACCCUGUUAUGUCACCAAAAUUAUAAACACUCUACAUGUGUUUUUAGUGUUAUUAAACGUGGACAGGAGCUAGUCUUUCUAAUGCAUUAGUAUUUCUUUCAUAGGCAGUUGCAAGUGGAUACCUACAAUGGAGUGCACUUUUAAAAGCCAACUUCCAAGCUGUUCCCAUGAGCAUACCGAUAAUUAUUCUAUCAUUUGUAUACCAGGUAACAUUACCAUCUAAUAUUCAUUCAAUGCUGAAGUGGUUUUGACAGUUUGUAUAUGCUUUUUCCAGAAUGUAGUGCCUGUUCUUUGUACAGAUCUUGAAGGAGACCUAUCAAAAGUAAGGUGAUAAAUUAAAACACUUUUACUUGAUGAUGCACCAAUAACUUUGUAGAUGUAAAUGUGAUCUGCGUCUCACUAAGUCUUAAGAGUAACACAUCUUAACCAACAGACAUGCUACGAUAAGUAGUGGUGAUAAACGAAUAGUCAUUUAGGUUUUGUUAAGAUAGAUAACAGAGUUCUGUUAAUAGUCUACAUCCCAGUUAACUGUGUAUAUUGAUUAAUCAAUAUCUCGGUUCACUCCUCGUUCAAAAGUCCAGGCUGUUUCCAAGGGCAGCCAUGUACCAUUUUUGUUUCUCUCCCAAAAUGUAAAAUUCAAUUGUAAUUGGUACAUUCAAUUGCAGGGAUUUGAACUUCGAAUCUCCUGUUCUAAUACCUAUAUAAAAUCGUAGAUUCACCACUAUUUUAAAAGCAUAAGAUGUUAGGAUUUGGCAAACAAUUAGAUUUGAACACAGAUGACUAUGCUAAAACUGUUGAAGACAUGAAAAGACUUAUCCUUACAAAAGCUAGGCGAUGUGGGACUAUGAAUAUUUUUUCCUUGCAUAACUAGUGUACAAGGAAAACUGCACAUGUGCAUAUAUACUUCAUCUUCCAAGGAUAGGGGUUGUGAGACUAUGACGAUUAAGUUUACUGUAUCUUGAUAUCUAGGGGACUUCUGAAAUUCCUAUUCCAACAGCUUCCAAAUUUAGAUAUAAUGAUGCAUGUGUGUGUUUCGGGCUUCUUUUUGAACUGUAGCCUAGGUAUCUGGCUCAGUGAAUUCUUAAGAAAAGGUCAUUUUACUUUGUUGGUGCAGCUUUGUUUCUUCUGCAUAUGUAUGUUGCAAGGAUCAAGGCCAAGUUUUUGUGUUUUCUCUUAAUACCAGGCAUGUCUGUAGCCCCCCAAACCAUGGCCAUAAUUUGGUUUAGUAUUAGGUGGUGAUACACAUGUGAUUGCACUGACCGGAAGUACUUUCUUGACUGCCUUAAAUUUGACAUUUUUUUCAUUACCCAUUAGUGAUUUCCUCAUAUAGCUCGUGGUUGCUGUCAUGAAAAAUUGAUAUUAAACAUUAUGCAAUCAAUUUAAUGUUUUGCAGGACUUCAAUUGUUCUAGGCACAACCAUACCACUUAUUUUAUUUCUAGUGUGGGAUGCUGUGAUUCUAGGAACCAUCAGUCAUGUUGAAAUGGGCUCUGGUAAAAUCAUGGAUCCAUUACAACUAUUGGAAUCAACAAAUGUUGCUGUUGGAGUAAGUUUAUAGACCAAAUGUUAAUUUUUUUUUUUUUUUAAGUAACUGAAACAACAGAGUGCAAAUUAAUUUUCCUUUUCUUUGUCUUACUGUGUGUUUUGUUUUGUUUCUUUCUUUCUUUCUUUCAGCCAGUUGAGGUUUUCUCAAUUUUCGCUAUCUCGACGUCAUAUAUCGGAUUCGUUUUGGGUCUUUGCGAUUUCCUUUCUGACUGUAAGUGCCUAUUUUAUUUUCUGCCAAAUAUUCAACUUCAUAUGGCAGGACAUAUGCGACAUAAUGAAAGUAAGAAAUAUAACUAAACAUUAAAGCAUGAAGAUGGAAAAUAGAUUUUAUUUAGGUUUGUGAUCAAAUUAGAAGUGGUAAAUGUUAGGAAUAAAAUUCAGGGUGGUAAAAUGAAUUGAACCAGAUACUAACUUCUUUUUAUUUCUCUUCAUUCUUUCUUUUUAUUUUAUCUCUCUUCCUUUCCCUAUCUCCAUAAAGGAGAAUGGAGCACAUCUUUGCUCUUGUCUUUGCGCAUAAACAAGAGCAUACCCUCUGGUUACAUAUAACAUAAGGUAUCAAAUCUUGACCAAUCAGGAAUUGAAAUCAAUUCCUUUUAGCCAACUAUGCCUUCUCAUUCUCUUUAACCAACAAGAUAACAGGUAAACUCAUAUCAAGAUUACUGGGAGUAGGAAUAGUUUUUUUUCUUUGUCAGGACAACAUCCAUCAAUAGGAAUCCAAAUCCUGUUGGUAAUUUGCUUCUUUUCUUUUAUGACAAGAAUACUAAUGGGCUAGAAUCUUAUCCCGCACAAAACUAUUUGCUAUCCAGAUGUUCAGCAGGAACAUGACCCUGUUUAUUGCAUUCAACAUAACAGGGAGCUGCAAAUUUUGUUGAUGAGAAUCCAUUUAGAUUUUCCAUUAUCUAUUCUACAUAGCUGCUCCCACCCCCCUUUUUUUGGAAAUUAACUUUUCUACACACGGCAUACCGUCUCUUUAGUUUUGUUUAAAUGUUGGAUCACUUGUAUGUGGACUGUUAAUCUCCUUUGUGAUUGUAAUAAUAUCAUGUGCUGCGCAGUACAAUUUGUUUCUUAUUUUGGUAAAUAUCCUCAUUAACGUGGUUAGUUUCUAUACAUCCAGUGCUGAAACUUCCGGCUGGUCAGAGCAGGCCUGUGCUGCCGUACCUUUUCACAUUGAUUCCACCAGUAGUGCUGUCAUUGCUAGACCCAGAAAUAUUCUUUAAAGCCUUGGAUUUCGCUGGAACUUAUGGAGGUGUGUGGAUUAAUUUUCAUUUUGCUGGAACUUAUAGUUUUGUUAAAAUAAUGUCAAUUUUGGGGAAUCUCUCCAAUGAGUACCUUACAACAAGGACUUUCAUAAGUUAUAAGGUACUCAUUAGACUUCCUUCAAUUUGGAUGUUUUUAUUGUUUUAAUAUUUUUCUUUUUCAUUUCCCUUUUCUAUUCACAAGUUUUAUUGUUUUAUUAUUUUUCAUUUCCCUGUCCCAUUCACAACAUUUAUUGUUUUAUUAUUUUUCCCUUUUCCAUUCACAGGUUUUAUUGUUGACUUUAUUGUAUUAUUAUUGUUCCUUUUCAUUUCCCUUUUCCAUCACAAGUUUUUAUGAUGGCUAAGGUUCUUCAUAUUAUGCCCUUGGUAGUGCUCCUGCUGUUCGGAAUCCUUCCAGCUGUUAUGUCUUGGUCCGAUAGGUACUCAAGUUCAUCCAUAGCUGUGAAAGUGCCACGGUUAGUUCCGGGAGGAAGGUUCACUCUUUCACUCAUAGUUGCAGGUGCUGGAUGUGUCAUUUUCUCAGAAAUUUUUGACAAGUUAAGCAACCAGUAACAAUUUCCGAAUGGUUCUGUUAGCCAGACUCCAAAACGCUUGUUGACAUACAACCUCAAUGUGUAUACAAACUACUUAUAAUAUUACUAGCUGGUCAUGUUCGUUAAGAAACUAUCUUAACUAUUACAACUCCAAAGGCUCUAAAUCAUCCUAAUAAAGCUUUUUUGUUUUUAACUGCAGAUCUAUUUCAACUCCAAAGGUUCUAAAUUAUCCUAACAAAGCUUUUUUGUUUUUGACUGCAGAUAGAUUGUUUUAAUCAUUCCAAAAAGAUCAAGUCAUCAUCAUCAUCAGGAACCAAAGCAUUUCAUGUUCAUAUUUGCAUGGUUCAAUCCUACCCAUACCCUGAUUACUAGUCCACACUCAAUUUGCCCAUCCAUCAAUGACCCUCUAUUAUCUAAAUCAGUUUGAUUUCACCCCUCGGGAGUAAAGCUAUCAUUUCACUCAAAGGCUCAAAGCUAUCAUUUCCGCUACCCAAAUUUAUUUAUUUAUUUAUUUUAUUUUUUUUUAUCGAAAGGAAAAUUUUUCAUUAAUACGGUUAGAUGUUACAUCCUAGGGGCUAAUGUGGCCUCAUUAAAAAUCCUGCCCGAUCAAGCAAGUAAAAAAGAGUACCACACCCCUGAAUCAACAAGAAAUACAUCAACUAGGCAUAUCAUCCACUACAUGCUGGUUGAGCCAAGAAGGAACUAUUUCCUACCAAAACUUAAUGUUAUCGAACAUAGCUGCUUCCUUCGCCAGCAUAUGUGCCACCGGUUCGUUUUUAUAUCUAGAUAAAUUACAAUAGUGUAGAAUUAGUGGCGGUAAUAAUGAUAUGAAUUUAUUAUGACACAACAUUCCAACAAUAGUUUGAGGUGGAAAACGGCCUUUUUGGCGUAGACAAUACAACUGUGAAUGAAACCUAUUGAUAUCUAUCUCUUGACCAAUUUUUUGAAAUGCAGUAGACUUCUCCAUGGCGAAGGAGAGCUUAUAUAAUUGACACUGAGAGUAUUAAAACUGAGGAUGAAUUGAUCAUAUCUAAAUUGCAGAGACUUUGAGAUAGAAUUGGAAGUUAUUGUGAGAAUAAAAAUUGCAAUUUGCCUAGCCAUCGACACCACCAAUAUUAUUUUGGGGUCAUGAAUGGGUGUUAGCUAGAAUGACUCAGCAUGAAACUUUUUCCACGGUUUAAGGUUCAGGUACCAAAAUACACCGGCGGAUUUCCGUGAUUCCCGAGUAGCGAACCUGCAAGAUGAACGCACGUGGUUAGAGGGAAGACCCGAGGGCUCCGGCCGUUUCCUCUCUGAUCAGGCCCGGCCUUACCCCAGUGCAACCCGUGCGACCGCACGGGGCCCAAGGGCAGAGGGGGUCAGGGGCACACAAUUUUUUAUUUUUUUUUCAUGGUGUUUUUUUCUUUUUCUACAUUAGCAGCCUUGUAUCUGUUAUUAAAAAAUUAUGCUAUGAGCCAAUGACUAUUAUUACCACCAGAUUUAAAACAUGUGGUUUGGGGCUAGGAUUAGGUAAUAAAUUAAAAUAUUUAUACUGUCAUUUAUAUAUACUAUAAUAAUAUAACUUUUGUUAUCAGAUUAUAAACACAAGGGUAAUAAUUAUAAAGGUCAAUAUUAAUGGGAGAACAACUUUCCUUUUGUCUAAGGAAUAUUAUAUGUUUUUCGCAUUUAACAGUAACAAUAUUGAUCAACACAAUUAGGUCAAUUCAUUUUUAGUUAAAUCUAGCCAUUAUCAAAUCUAAAAAGCCAUGGAAUUUUUCAGUAUUUCAAAUUUGAAAUUGAUAUAGCAAUUAGUUGAAUAGCCUUCCGAUUUUGCGUCUUAUGAUGUUAGAAUCGUAGGAAGAUUCUAUUAGUUUUUUUCUUUUCUUUUUUUUCUUUUUUUACAAAUAAUGCUUUAGAUCGAGCUCCUUGUUUCUAAGAUUUGGGUAAUUUUGUUUACAAUCAUGUUUGCUGUUAUUGAUCAAAUUCUGAUACUUGGAAUUCAUCUUGCUUUAAUUAAGUUAAAGCAACUGCACAAAUAUUUUUUUCUUGAUAUUUUCUCCAACUACUUAAAGAAAGAAAAUACCCGAUUUUGUGGCGUCUUUUUGAAAAAAAAAUAAAACAUUGAGGGGCCCAAUUUUUUUUCUUGCACUGGGCCUUAAAUCCCUCGGGACCGGCUUUGUCUCUAACACUAAAGUUAAAAAUUAAACCAUUCCGGAAUGAGAUUCUUUUGUGCGUUACUGUUUGCGAUAUGUUAUGGUGUAUUUGGUUUGAAUCGUCUAAUGCAUGAGGGGGCUCAGUUUUCUUUGCUGGCCUCAUUUUUGCUUCAUGUUUCUCCCAAGCCAGUACUCCUAUGUGUUGUAGAGUGAAUAUUUGGGUAGCUAGAGUGAAAAUUGGUUGUUGAUCAAUGUCUUAAUUUUCUUGAUCUGACUUUUUUCUUUUUUAACAUUGACUGUCGACUAAUGUCCAUGUGCUUUAUCCUAGUAGUGUAAGAGUGCUUCAUCUUGCGCAAUGGAGGAAACUCUCCAACCAAGACGUUGGUUUCCCUUAUUUGGGGACUUAGAGGAUUUGUUGGUGGAACUAGUACCGAGCGUUCUUCUUAGGCUUGUGUGCAUGUGUUCUACCGCUCUCAGCAGGCGCGCACCUCUGAACCGUACACGUGGAAGCACAUAUGUGGUUUCUAGAUGAGUGCGGCACAACUGUCACCAACUGGCGCCAGGCUGGACCCAAGCGUGCACUUAUAAAUAGGACUAUGCACCUCUAAUAUAGGUAAGAAACUCAUUCCAUGCAUUAGGCCGUUUCCUCUCUAUCAUUUUUUCAAUGUAGGAUCUCCCCUCCAACACGCCCCCUUACGUGCAACCUAACUUUUUUAGGUCUGCACGUGAAAUAGAGUAAAAACUGAACCCGGACCCCAUGACAACUGAAAGAACCAAACUCAGACCUAUGAAAACCAAAAGGACCAAACGAGCCCAUGACAACUGAAAGAACCAGACUCGAAAGAACCAAACCAGGGCCAUAACUCCUGAAAUAACCACCUGGGCAGGUUGGAGACGCAACUGGGGAGGGACCCGUUCUGAUACCAUAUUAAACAGUGACAAACGUGCCCCGCAGAUCAUCCUUGAACGGAUACUGUCCCAACUUAACCACCUUUAGGCCUCGUUUGGUUCGUGAAAAGGAAAAUAAAUUUUUGCACUUUCCCAUGGGAAGGGAAAGUGAACGGGGAUGAAAUUAUAUAAGAAAUUUUAAUUCCGAUGUUUGGUAACAUAAUGAAAGUUAUCGGAAAAAUUAUUAAAAAGUUGAUAAUUAAAAUAAUAUAAUAUUAGGUUGUGCGUAAUAAAUGCAGGAAAAUGAGGAAGGAAAGUGGUUCUUUUAAAUUUUGGAAGGAACAACUUUUCUUUUAUGCUGAUCACUCUCCGCGAAACAAACGAGGUCUUAAGGUGUUGAGUUUUAAUCACAAACAGUCUCAAUACAAUUAAAUAUUAUUUAUCCACUUAUUCGUUCCGGGCCGGUUCAAGGGACAUUAGAUUUAACACUAACUUUGACACUAUUUUUUAACCAUUGGAUUUUUAAAAAUUCAAUGGUCUAGAUCAAUUCUAAGUAUGAUGUCAACCUACUAAAACUGAUGUGGCAAAUGACGUGGAACUUACCUAAUUUCAUAACAACUCAAAUUACAAUAAAAGAAUGAAAAAUUAAAAUCUAAAAUCUGAAAGAAAAAAAAAAAUCUGUACGAUAAAAAAAAAAAAAGACGAUACAUAAACAAGACCCUAAGAGAAGAAACAAAGAAUACAGAAGAGAAAAAGAACCAAAGCACUGAAAGCAUCUUCUCUAACUCCAAGCUCACAUCUUUAUACUUUCACAGAAUACGUACAGGUACUAGCUAGCUAAUCUUGUUUAAUUUUGACUGAUGUACUGUAUUGGCGUUUUAUAGAUAUCCAUAUUUAGGGUUUACGAAUAUAAUUUGUUUUGAAAUUUAGGAAAACGAAACUAUACUGCCAUGGAGUUGUAUGAAUUUUUUUAUUUGUCCAUAAAACGAUGUGAUUUGAAUAGAUUGUAUAAUUGUGAUUUUCGUAAUCAUUGGUCUAUAUAGUUGCAGCUUUAUGUUUGAAUAGAGUAGUGCAUNNNNNNNNNNNNNNNNNNNNAGUGAAAAAGCAAGUGAUCACCAUUCUCAAGAGAAAGAAGUCCGAAAACUAAAAUCCCCCUAUGUUGGAAUGUUUGUUGAAACAUUAGAGGAGGCCGGACAAUAUUAUGAAGAUUAUGGUCGACAAGAAGGUUUUUGGACUCGUAUCCGAAGUUCAUCAAAGUAUAGAUCACAGUCAAAUGAAGUGACAGGUAGAUUAUUUGUUUGUGCACAUGAAGGUAAACAUGUCAUGCAAACUCAAAAAGAAGACGAUCUGAAAGAGAAAGACGAGAAAGUUGAGAAUGAUGAGGUAGAAACAUGUGACAUGCAGAUUGAAAGGAAGAGGCGAAGAAGUUGCUCAACUGUUAAAUGUGGGUGUGAGAGCCAUAUGCUAGUUCUUCAUGACAAAUGGACUAGCAGAUGGAAAGUAUCGGUUUUCAGUGACAUUCACAACCAUAAAAUAGUGUCACCAGCUCGAAGAAUGAUGAUGAAGUCCAAUAAACAUAUGCCUGAUGCGGCAAAAGAUUUAACAGAAGCUUUUCAGAGACAAAACUUACGAAUUAGUAAAGUUCCUUCAAUGUUUGGUGGUGCUCAUAAUAUUGGUUUUGACAAUAGGGACUGUUAUAAUCAUUUAAGGAACGUGAGGCACAAAGAGUUGGAAUAUGGAGAUGCACAAUCAGUCCUCAAUUACUUUAGAAAAAAGCAAGCAGAAAAUCCAUAGUUCUUUUAUGCUAUCCAGUGUGAUGAAGAUGGUAGAGCUACUAAUUUUUUCUGGGUGGAUUCUAGAUCAAGGACGGCGUACCAGUAUUUUGGGGAUGUAGUGACAUUUGAUACAACAUAUCGGACAAACAAGUAUGACAUGCCAUUUGCGCCAUUUACUGGAGUAAAUCAUCACUUCCAAUCCAUACAAUUUGGAUGUGCUCUUUUACAAGAUGAGACAGAGUCGACAUUUCUAUGGUUAUUUGAGACAUGGCUUGAAGCUAUGGGAGGUUGACAUCCCUUAUGUAUUAUCACUUACCAAGAUUUGGCAAUGAAAGGAGCAAUUGCUAAGAUUUUCCAACUGCUCGUCACCGCCUUUGCAUUUGGCAUAUAAUGAAGAAGUUUGGUGAAAAGUUGUCACAUGUAUAUUAUAAAAAGUCCAACUUCAAGACCGGCAUGAAAAAGUGUAUAUGGGCAACAUACAGGGUAGAGGAUUUUGAAGAGCAAUGGAAAAAGUUGAUUGAGGAGCAUGAAUUAGGACAAAAAUGAGUGGCUACAACAACUUUAUGAAAUGCGUGAAACUUGGGUUCCAGUAUAUAAUCGCAGCACUUUUUUUGCCGGAAUGAAUACAACAGGGCGUAGUGAAGGCACUAAUUCUUUUUUCGAUGACUUUGUUACAUCAACUACCAAUCUAAGAGAAUUUGUUGUCAAGUAUGAACAAGCCUUGCAAAAGAUUGUUACAAGGGAAAGUAGUGAAGAUUUUACAUCAGAGCAUAAAUAUCGUAUUGUGAAUGAUGAUGACUUUCUUUUGAAACAUGCAGCACAGGUGUAUACCAGAAAUAUAUUUGAAAAAUUCAAGAGUGAAUGGACUAGAGUCAAACGGCUUAAAGUUGAAGAAAGGGGUUUUGACGAUCAGUUUCAUAGAUACUCAGUGAUGAAGAAAAUCAAUAACUCGCAAGAGUUUUUGGUGGAGUUAAAUUUACAAACACAUGAAGGUAAAUGUGAAUGCCAAAAUUUUGAAUUUGUGGGAAUAAUUUGCCGACAUAUUAUGAAAGUAUUUGUUCAUCAAGACAUUNNNNNNNNNNNNNNNNNNNNUGGUUUAGAUGAAUUGUACAAAAAAAUUUCAGAGGUUAAUAAGGUGUCACAAGAAGAUGUUAUGGAGUCUCACGAUAAUGCUUUUCAAGAUGAAGCAGCAAAUAUAUGUACCAGUAAGUCUUCUGAGCCAUUGUUUUUGGAUCCAAAUAUCUCAAAGACCAAGGGCAGAAAGAAGGAUAUGGAUGAGAAUAACAGAAGAGUAACAAAAAGUUCUAAGAGGAUAAAAGGUGGCAUGGAGUUGGCUCAAAGCAAGAAGAGAAAGUGUACAAUGUGCCAACAACCAGGACAUAACAGGCUCACUUGCCCUUUAAAUCCAGCUGCAAAAAGAAAAACGGUUGUUUCUACAAAUCAAGGUAAGUUAACUUUCUCUUCUUUUUAUUUAUCAGAUUAUAUAGUUUCACUUGAGAUAUGAAUUAUGAUAGCUUCUAACAUGUACUUUUGUCGGAAUUUGUAUUUUUAGGGAGUCAAAAUAUGCAAGAGUUGCCCGCAGUUUCGGACAAGGAAGAUUCCGACGAGGAAGAUUCAGACGAUAACCAUGAAGAAUAAAUUUACCUCCAUUUUUAUGUUUAUGUUCCUUUUAGUAACUACAAUUUUGUUAAGGGAGUUUUGAUUAGUUUUGUUAUUGUACAAGAUGAUUGAUUUAUACUGAUGCAUGCUAUUUUUAUUUUUUACAAGAUGAUGAUAUAGUAUUCCCUUUGAUUUCUAGAUUUCGUAUCGAAUGAGAGUAUGAUAUGUAUUGUUUGUCAGAUAUGGAUGAUACUUUUGGAUCCAAAUAUGAUAAGUUCCACUGGACUAUAGUUGUUUACAGUUGUUAAAUGCCAGAUAGCUCAACUUAUAAAUAGAUUACUUUACAACAAAGUAUAUAUUGUGAUGGUGAUUUUGUUAACUAGAAAGACUAACAAAGAGGAUAUGGUCGAUCGUUGGGACAACUACCCUUUCACAAUUCUCACAUACAUGAAAAAUACUUGCAGUCUGUGAAAAAAUUGAUGACCUUUUGUCAGCAACGCUACCCUACUAUGCCAUCUAAAGCUGUCGAGUUCAACAGCUUGGCUAAUGGUAGUAACCUGCAGUCUCUGCUACAAACGGAGACUGACUCUGGCAGUAUUAAAGUCUUUGAGGAAAGGCUUCGGUUAAUGCCUGCUCCUUAGCAUUUGUAAUAGUGUUUGAAAUAGCUGAUGUAAUGAAAUUAUGCGGAAUGAUAAAGUUCUCCAUCUUUGAUCUGUGGAAUGCUAUGUUUCUCCAUUUAAAGAUUAAAAAAAAAAAUAAAGAAUUCUAUCCAUAAUCGAUCAUAUGGUCAGCCAAGAGUUAGGCUGUAUUGUAUCGUCUUUUUUUUAUCGUACAUAUUUUUUUUUCUUUCAGAUUUUAGAUUUUGAUUUUUUAUUCUUUUAUUGUAAUUUGAGUUGUUAUGAAAUUAGGUAAGUUCCACGUCACUUGCCACAUCAGUUUUAGUAGGUUGACAUCAUACUUAGAAUUGAUCUAAACCAUUGAAUUUUUUAAAAUCCAAUGGUUAAAAAAUAGUGUCAAAGUUAGUGUUAAAUCUAAUGUCCCUUGAACCGGCCCGUAUUCAUUAUAUUUUUAUUUGUUACUUUUUUAAUAUGAGAUCUCUCAUCUCCGAUGUCUAUGCAAGUCCUUCCACCUACACAAGCUUUUACAGGGAUGAAUUGCGGGUGACUAAAUUUGAGAACCUCACUCAAGUGACGGAGCUGACGCACUCAAGGUCACAUAUGCAUCCCUCCCUCGCUGUUAAAAUAGCAGAAGAAGAGUCUGACCAAACAACUUGAUUUUCGAUGUGUUCAAAGGAACAGUAGUGGACGUGAGAGCUCUGCAACCUCUGGAAACAAUUGCAUGAAAGAUAUGGUAAUUCUCAUCUCCCAUGCAAAAUAAAGUCAUUUAGCUUAUAGUCAAUUUGAGCAAAAUUUUGGAUGUAUAUGGUAAAAGCUUCUGCCUGUAGAAUAUUUUGUAUAUAUUUACUUUCUUUGUAUGUGUAGGUGUAGAUGUAGAUGUAAAUGUAGAUGUAAGAAAUAUUUUCCUAGUAGCGUUAUGAUUGUAUUUCUAUAUAAAGCUCUUAUUCGGAGAAGAAUAAUACAUUGAAGCAUAUCAAACCAUAUUAAAUUAUUAUUUUCUACUUGGCAUCAAAGCUUACCAAGUUCGAUCCUUUACAUUUUACACCCAAAACAUCACAAAUCGCUGCGUACCAAAUUCCAAAUUCCAAAUCCCAAAUUCCAAACACUAAACACAAAUCCCUACCCACAGAUACAACCAACCGUGUCCUGUCAUCCCAUCAUCAUCAUCGCAAAUCCCAAAGCAAAGUCAACAGCAAAUUCAAAUUCAAAGCAGACAAAGUUUGCCAUCCUUUGUACCACAGCAGAGAGACGCAAUUGUUCAGCGUCAGUCCUUUGUACUCACGUGCAGCAACCAACUCGGCUCAACCAAACUCGUCGGCUUGGCUCACGUGCUCAUCACCAAAGCAGAUUUGCAGCAAUUUUCUCCGACCCCACACCACACACAAAUCAAAUGGCGGAUCAAAUAAAAUUCCACACCAUCACCGCACCACGGCGCAAACCAAAUUCAUAUGCGAACUCCGAAUGUCUACUAUGUGGAGUAUUUGGUCAUAGCAAACAACGUUAUUUUGAAACAAUUAGGUAUUUGGAUUGGUGGGAUUUCACCAAGAGACCCCGGAAGAAUCAAACAAAAGCUGUCAUAGCCACUACAGAGAAUGAGCAACCAUCCAAUAUCUCCAAUGUCGCACAGUCAGGUAUGAACGGUAAGGUAUCUAUGAAUAGUUUCUGGAUUAUUGAUACAGGCGCAUCUGAUCAUAUAUGUAAUGAUUCUAGCCUCUUGGAAAAAUUAAAACCCUCCUCUCAAAAUAUUAUUUCUACCGCUGAUGGUACUUCAACUCCUGUUAUCGGUGAAGGCUCUAUUGUCCUAUCAAACACAUUAACCCUUGAUUCUGUAUUAGUUGUCCCAUCAUUGUCAUACAAUCUUCUCUCAGUUGGCCAAAUCAUUCAAGCAUUAUCAUGUAUCGUCACCUUCUAUCCGUCUUUCUGUGUAUUUCAGGACAUUCUGACGCGACGGAUUUUAGGUUAUGGUGUGAGAAAGGGGAAAUUGUACUACCUGGAUUUGACAGAGACAGGAGAGAAAAAUAUACAGUAUUUGGAUCAAGCUAAUCAGGUCAAUAGAGCCGAGAGUGCUAAGAAAGAUGUGUGGCUUUGGCACCGCAGGUUGGGACAUCUAAACUUCGGUUAUCUGAAGAAACUGCAACCACAAUUAUUUUCAGGUGUUGAUCAUUCAGAUUUUCAUUGCGACAUAUGUGAACUGGCCAAGAGCCACCGUAUUUCAUAUUCACCAAGCCUGAAUAGAAGCCCUAUUCCAUUUAUGAAGAAUCAUUCUGAUGUUUGGGGCCCUGCAAACAUUCCUUCUCUCUGUGGCGCUCGGUAUUUUGUAACAUUUAUUGAUGAUUGUACUUGUCUGACUUGGGUGUCUCUACUGAUGAACAAGAGCGAUGUUUGUUCUCGGUUCAAAGAAUUUCACAAGAUGGUGUCUACACAGUAUCAACAAACUAUUCGAGUUUUCCAAUCUGACAAUGGUGGAGAGUAUGUUAAUGGCCCUAUGCAGGAGUUUAUGCAGUCCCAUGGAAUUCGACAUCAGACUUCAAAUUCUUAUACUCCUCAACAAAAUGGAUUAGCAGAAAGGAAAAAUCGACAAUUGCUUGAAGUUGUUCGUGCCUCUUUAUUCGGCAUGAAUGUACCUCUUGAAUAUUGGGGAGAAGCUGUGAAGUCUGCUGCCUAUCUCAUUAAUCGUACUCCUUCUCGAGUAAUUGAAUUUUAAAACCCUCUGCAGCAGCUUCAUAGUCUACUUUCAGCUCCGUCAUUGCCUAACUUGGAGCCUCGUGUAUUUGGAUGCGUCGUGUAUGUUCAUAUUCCCAAACCUCAACGAAGCAAACUUGAUCCUCGUGCAAGACGGUGUAUCUUUAUUGGGUAUGCCGAUUUCCAAAAAGGUUACAAAUGUUAUGAUCCUCUCAACGACACCGUCCACGUAUCCCUGGACGUUUCUUUUCGCGAAUCUGAGCCUUAUUAUUCAGGGGAGCUUCUCAGCCUUCCCUUUAGGGGGAGAGAAGUCGUGAAGGGAAUUCUCAAUAUUUCUUUGAGUUUAAUGAAUUUGAAGAAUUAGAAACCUUGGAGUCAAGAUUUGGAGUUGAAAUAGAUAAAAACAACGAAGAAAACAGAGAAAGUGGUAAUAUUCUGGAACGUGCCCUUACACAGACACAACACCAGCCGUGGUCCCAGGUGCUGACGCAAGCCAGUCAGCUACUACAGACGGGCCGAGCCGAGCUUCAGAUUGUGACACAGGGACCAUAGACGAGCCAAGCCAACUGAGUCGAGCCGACCAAGCCGCUGACCCAUUGCUGACACGUGUUGACAAUGACACAUGCACCACAAGCGAGCCGAGCCGAAUGAGCCAAGCCGACCAAGCCGCCAACCAAGCCGCUGGCCCGUUGCUGACAAAUGUCAACAAUGACACUGGUCCCGCAGAUCAAAACAAAUCAGUCUCCUUCUCUGGUCCCACAAACUUGUCAGAUAAUUAAUUGUCUCAUAAUUAAAGGUUCUGCUUCAUCCGAUAAUUUUCCCUUCUCUGCACCGUUAACCGAAGAAUCCACUACGAAUGUCUCUUCCCAGGUACCUUUAAAUUCAAAGCCGAUGGGAGCAUUGACAGAUAUAAAGCCAGAUUAGUUACCAAAGGAUACACCCAACGCUAUGAGAUUGAUUAUGAAGAAACAUUUGCACCUGUCGCAAAGAUCAACACUGUUCGAAUCUUGAUUUCACUUGCAGCAACUAAAGAUUGGCCUCUACGACAGUUUGAUGUGAAGAAUGUUUUCCUCAAUGGAAACUUGGAAGAAGAGGUGUAUAUGGACAUACCCCCAGGAGUCAAAUGUAGACCUUGCGAUGUCGGAAAGGUUUGUAAGUUGAAGAAAUCUUUGUAUGGUUUGAAGCAGUCUCCUAGAGCUUGGUUUGGAAGAUUCUCUAAAUCAAUGAAGACAUUUGGUUAUAGACAAAGCAACUCGGAUCACACUUUGUUCAUCAAGCGUAAUCAGGGUAAGAUCACAGCUCUAAUUGUGUAUGUUGAUGAUAUGAUUGUUACAGAAGAUGACCCAAAGGAGAUGGAGGCUCUACAGAAGUACCUUUCAAUUCACACUUUGUUCAUCAAGCGUAAUCAGGGUAAGAUCACAGCUCUAAUUGUGUAUGUUGAUGAUAUGAUUGUUACAGAAGAUGACCCAAAGGAGAUGGAGGCUCUACAGAAGUACCUUUCAAAGGAGUUUGAGAUGAAGGACCUUGGACAAUUGAAGUAUUUUCUCGGAAUAGAAGUUGCAAGGUCAAAGGAGGGGAUUUCUUUAUCCCAGCGAAAGUAUGUACUUGACUUGUUAGCUGAGACUGGAAUGCUUGACUGCACACCUGUUGAGACACCAAUUGAGAUGAAUCACAACCUUGCCAUCUAUCCGGAUCAAGUUCCAACUGAUAAAGGAAGGUACCAACGUCUAGUAUGGAGACUUAUUUAUCUUUCUCAUACUAGACCUGAUAUUGCUUAUGCUGUGAGUGUGGUUAGUCAAUUUAUGCAUUGUCCCAGCGAAGAACAUAUGGAUGCAGUGUAUCGUAUUCUGAAGUAUCUUAAUAUGACACCUGGAAAAGGCUUGUUAUUUGAAAAGAGGGGUGCAUUGGAAGUUGUAGGGUACACAGAUGCUGAUUGGGCUGGUGAUAAGACUAACAGACGGUCUACAUCUGGGUAUUUUACAUUUGUUGGAGGAAACCUUGUGACUUGGCGUAGUAAGAAACAAAAAGUCGUUGCAAGAUCAAGUGCUGAAGCAGAGUUUCGAGGUAUGACACAUGGAGUUUGUGAGAUGCUAUGGAUUCGUAAUGUAUUGAAAGAAUUAGGUUUCAAACUCAAGAAACCCAUGGACUUGCAUUGUGAUAGCACGUCUGCUAUUGAGAUUGCUCCUGUUCAGCAUGACCGGACAAAACAUGUGGAGGUAGAUCGGCAUUUUAUUAAAGAAAACUUGGACUGGAAAAUCAUUCGUUUCCCUUUCGUGUAUACGGAAGAUCAAUUAGCAGAUGUUCUCACAAAAAGAGUGUCAAGGAAAGUGUUUGACAACUCAGUUGGCAAGUUGGGCAUGAUCGAUAUCUAUGCACCAACUUGAGGGGGAGUGUAGAAUAUUUUGUAUAUAUUUACUUUCCUUGUAUGUGUAGGUGUAGAUGUAGAUGUAGAUGUAGGAAAUAUUUUCCUAGUAGCGUUAUGAUUGUAUCUCUAUAUAAAGCUCCUAUUCGGAGAAGAAUAAUACAUUGAAGCAUAUCAAACCAUAUUGAAUCAUUAUUUUCUACUCUGCCAAUACAACUCUCAUCCAAUUAUCACUCCAUACUCCAUAGUCUAACUUUCUUGCCAUCACCCACAACCCAACGUAGCUUGGACAAAAGUAAAUGCCAUACUUUUCUCCAAGCUAACCACACUGAAGACUUUUUAUAAUAGUUACACAGCUUCAAACUUAGAAGUAGAAACCUAUCAAAAAACAGGCAAUUGCCAGAUCUUCAACUUAGAAGGAAACUAAACAUUGUUGCAAUUGCCAGAUCUUCUGGCUCUAGUCACAGCACAUAAAUCAUCUAUGAAGACUCAACAUGCACAGGAGGCUCCUCAAAAAUGACCGAACCCAGAUCAUGAUGAAUGCUUUUGUCAAAGCAUCUGCAGUCAUAUUUGAUUCUUUGAAAAUAUGAGACAACUUCACCUCAUCCACUUGUUUUACAACUUAACCAUAAUUAAGUUAUUUUUAAAUAGAAAAAUAGAUCAAACCGUGUUUCAACUUUUGCAGAAACUAACUUUUGUCAAAACAUCUGCAGUCAUAUUUGAUUCUCUGAAAAUAUGAGACAACUUCACCUCAUCCAACUGUUUUACAACUUAACCAUAGUUAAGUUAUUUUUAAAUAAAAAAAUAGAUCAAACCGUGUCUCAACUUUUGCAGAAGCUAACUUUUGGUAUCUCAGUUUUCAAAACUUAAAAUAGUAUCUCACGUUUUUAACUCGACUAAAAAAUUGUAUCAGACGGAAGAUAUAUUUUAAAGGCUAUUUCCGUCCAUUCUCAUUUUAAUUUUUUAAUUUUAUUUUACUAACACUAAUUUCUCUCUGUCCGUCUAUGUUCAUCUUCCUCAUUCUUUCCGGAUCAAACUGGACUGUAUCAUGGCUUUCUAAUAAAUAGCAAAGAAUGCAAAGGAAUGGUCUGGGAAUAACAACCUCCUCGAGCACCGGCAACUAACCGACAGUCUUCAUCAACAAUCAUCAAUAAUAACAACCCACUCCAGUAGCCUAUUCCAAGAAUUUAAUCAAGUCUAAUAAUGAUGGAGCUUCUGCUGGAGGAGCGACUUGAGGGCGGUGACGGCGUCGACGUUGAAGCCGAGGAAAUUGGACAAGAGAGAGGCUUCCUGAGAUGGAGCGGGAGCUUGUAGUUGUUCGGUGAGUGAGGGCGGCGGGUGGUCGGCACGCGCGAGGAGUUUGGAGGAGUUGUGGAAGAGUUCAUGGUUGACACGAAGAGGAAGAUGAAGAGGAGCAGAUGAUACUGACUGGGUCUCUUUAGGCUCUGGGGGUUUAAGAGAGUGAGAGACCAAGAGAGAGCUAGUUUGACUGGGGGUAUAUUGUUGACCUGAACUGCCGAAUCUAAUUUACCGACCACCGUUCUAACAGCUUCCCAAUUUUCUAUAAUUUCUCAAUUUUAGGAAAUAUAAAACUGUUUUUAGGUCUAACAGUUUCCCAUCUCAUUUCCUAAAAUGAGAUGGGAGAAAAAAAAGAAGCAUUUAUUUCCCAAAUUUACAACAAAGUCUUCAUUCCCCAAAAUUUAAUUUUUCGUGCUCCAAUGAAUUUAAGACAACAAUAGAAUAUUUUAUUAGAUAUUUUAUUGUUACAAUGAAAUAUAUAAUGAUUUUUGUUAUAAUUAAUAAUAAUAUAAUAUAUUUUAUUGUUGUAUUAAAUGUCGAAAUCUCCAAAAUGGAGAAGUUGAAUUUUGAGCAUAAUUUUUUUUUUUGGAGAUUUUAGCUUUUGCUUUCCCAUUUUAGAGACAAUUUGAGGAAGCUGAUGGAGAUGCUCUAAUGUUUGCAGGCAAAGCAUUGAGCAUUCUACAAUAAAUUGCACAUGUGAAAUCUAAUUCCAUUCCAUGAUUCACCUACCCUCAUAGUUCAUCAAAAACGAAAAAGAAAAUGAGUGCGGCUAUUGGGACCUCCAAAUUUGCUCACUAGACAUCACUUUAUUUUGAAUUAUUAAAUGACAUAUACAUCCUCAUACACAAUGACUAUUAAGGACAAUAAUUAUACAAAAGAAAAUAUUGUAUUUAUUCUCUUUAGACUUUCCAAUUCAAUAAUAAUUGAUUCCAUUCUUUAUUAUUUUCUUUAUAGAGUUUUGUUUUCCAAUAUCUUUUUAUUAAAGCAUAUAUAUAGUUUAUAAGAGCUAAAAAAUUAAUUAAUACCGAUCAUGUGACAUACAAUUUUGUAUUAUCAUCAAGCUUCUAAAAGGCCCCGCCUAGGACCGCCUAGUCCCCGCCUAGGCUCUAAGCUGCAACAAGCCGCCUCGUUUUUCUUCCAGGCCUUUGUGCCAGGCUGUGGGCGAUUAGGCGGCCGCCUAACUCGCCUAAAUGCCGCCUAGCCAGCCUAGAUGCCGCCUUGCCCGCCUAGGCUGCUAAGUUCUACGGCUAUUUUUGUUUUCUUUUUGUGGUGGGAUUGUUAUAUUGUGGGGAGUAUGAGAGUAUAAGAGUUAAUUGUGUGUUUAAAAUUAGAAGUGUAUAUGUUUAUUGUUGUUGUUGCUCACUUUACAGGAAGUUAUGUUAAAUUUUAGUUAUAAUUUAUUUUAUAAAUGAGUAUGACUAGAUUAUGUUGAAUAAUUUAUCUAUAUUUGACCGUUUUCAAAUAUUAAAUUGCAUAAAAUAUAUAUUUUUAAUUAAUAAAUAUUAAAAAUACAAAUCGCCUAGUCCCCGCCUAAUCCUCGCCUAGGCUGUCCAGGCUCUAGGCUGUGGGUUACCGCCCGCCUAGCGCCUAGCGCCUUUUAGAACAUUGAUUAUCAUACAUGUUGAACGCAUAUAUUUUCAAGAUGCAUAAAUAUUUUUUGCAAAAAAGAAAAAAAUUUAAUAUCUAUCGAUUAUAGAAAAUAUAUAUUUAUUGAAAUAAUUUAUUAUGAGGUACAAAAAUAGAGAUCAAAUUAUUCAAAAGAAAAAAAAAUAGGAGAAAAAAUAACACGUACAAAAGAGAAAAACAAUUAAAAAGAUAUAUAGAGUAGUUCCUGAUAGAACAUUUUCUUGCAUGAAAAAUAAUCAAAAAUGAAGGUAGGGAUAAUAGAUGUUGACAAACAAAAAGGAAAAAAGAAAUGAGAGGUCUAUUGAUUGAAUAAGAGGUAAUUACUUGAUUGAAAUAUGUGUCAAUAAAUAACUAAAGUUAUGUUAGGAAUUUGAAAUGAGGUCUAGUGAGCAAAUACUUAUAUUGAAAAGUAAUAAAAAAAUGCUCAUUUAGUACUAAUUUAAACCUCUCAUUUCUCAUUCCAAAUGAUUAAUCUUUUUUAUUAGCCCAUUCAAUAUAAGGUAACCUUUUAUGCCCAAAUGUANNNNNNNNNNNNNNNNNNNNAAAAGGGGAAAAAAAAUGAGAGGUCUAUUGAUUGAAUAAGAGGUACUUAAUUGAUUGAAAUAUAUGUCAAUAAAUAACUAAGGUUAUGUUAGGAAUUUGAAAUGAGGUCUACUGAGCAAAUACUUAUAUUGAAAAGUAAAAAGGAGGUGUAGAGAGAAUGAGAGGUAUAAUGAGCAAAUUUAGAGGUCCCAAUAGCCACACUCAAAGAAAAUAACUAAAAGAAAAAAGAAGAAGGUGAAACUGAUUCAUUUGGUUAUUGUUAAUUGUUGAUUCUAAUGAAACUUUGUAUUGUUCUAGAUGUAAUUAUAGAUAAAACAGAACAAAUGGGAAGAUGAGAUUUAGUCUUUUGAGAGGAAGAGUCGGCGUGGAGAAGAAGAUCUGGACGAAGGUUGAAAGUUGAAACCCAUAAAUACCUCCCAAUUUGAAGAAUACAAGGAAUAAACAGAAAGAAAAAAAAUUGUUCUAGGAUAUUCUGCAUCCUUUUAGAAUAUUCCUUAUGGGUGUGUUUGGUACCAUGGACUAGAUAGGAUUUCUAAUCAAGUCUUGUUCCAACUAGAUUGGAUUUGGAGAUGUCUGCCUCCUAUCCAAUAGGAUGUUUGUUACUCUAGAAAAGAAUCGGAUUGGGACUGGGACUCUAUCCUUUAGAGAAGAACAAAACUUAAAAAAAACAACAGAAUAGAAAAAGAAAGAUUUCCGGUUUUCAGCUCACGAGUUCUUGCCGAAAUAAAAAAAAAUGCAGAGAUGUAAUUCACCAUCCACGAUCACUCUGGAGUUACCGAUGAGGAGGAAGACGUCAUCAGACUUGGCCGGAGAUGUCUGGGUUUUGCUGGUAAUGGCCGAAAUUAAUUGAAAUUGGGCGUGGAAGAAGGGAUGAAGAUGAAGAUGAAAUUGGGCGAGGAAGAAGGGAUGAAGCUGAAGGCCGGUGGUUGUCGCGCGAGCGUGUUUUGAUCGUGUGAUAAGGUCAGCAGAUUACAGGUCGAUCGAGAGAAAUCAAAAGCCGGAUAAAAUUAAUGACACCAUUCUAACAAGAUUUGUUAUCCACCUCUGACAGGAUUCUUGAUUUCUGAACGAUACAAAUCUGGGUCUCCAAACAAUACACGGAGUCUGAUAGAAUAAAUAUUUGUUUGUCUGGUUGCUAUAUGAAGGCAAACAAACACCGCUUAUGUGUGUUUUGGCCUUAUGCCAUCAUGAUAUAUAGAUAGAAUAUGACUAUGUAUUCUUUAUCAUUACCAUAUUGGUACUUUGUAAUUCCUUAUAUGAAGGGGUCCUAUAAAUGAAUAAGAUGAUUAUUUUAUGUUCUCUUACUAGAUUUCUUUGUCUCUACCCUUUAUUCUUAUUUAUAAAAGUUAAAAUAAAGAGUCUGCUAAAGUUGCUCUAAGAGUGUAUAGAGUUGAUGAGAAUUUUAGAAUCUGAUUUUGUUAGUAGGAAAAAAAAUCUACAGAUUUAUAAAUAAUGGGUAUUUUCCUUAAAAUUAAAUAAAGAAACUACAUUUUAACUAUUUAUAACUUUGUUUAUAUAAUUAACUGUUAUUUUUAAAAUAAAAAAUAUACAAAAUAAAAAAACCGAUUAUUCCCCGGACGCUAGUCCCGCCCGACUUGCGUCUAGCGUUUUUUAAAAGAGUAAAUGACACUUUAGUACUAAUUUAAGCUUCUUUUUGCCCAUUUAAAUGUUUUUAAAAGAAAUGUGUCCACUUCAAUAUAAGGUGUGUGAAAUGUGCCUUAUUGGACAAAACUUUUCUAAUGGGCCCACUUUUAACAGUUUUUUCUGUCGAAAAUACCCUUAACCCGUGGACUAUAUAUACCAGACGAGAUCCAUUUUCAAAUUUCUGUUUUGAAGAGAGAGAAAGUUUACGAUCGGAGAGAGAGAGAGAGAGAGAGAGAGAGAGAGAGAGAGAGAGAGAGAGAGAGAGAGAGAGAGAGAGAGAGAGAGAGAGAGAGANNNNNNNNNNNNNNNNNNNNNNNNNNNNNNNNNNNNNNNNNNNNNNNNNNNNNNNNNNNNNNNNNNNNNNNNNNNNNNNNNNNUUUGAGAGAGGACCGACGGCGUUGUUUCAGACGGCGAUUUCGAGCCAAUUUCCGUCGCUGUUUUCUGGCGGCAGCAUAACCUCUCUUCCCGUAGCAGAAUUACGUAGUAAAUGGAGCUAGAUCGGCCUUUGGUUUGCUCUUCGGUUCCUACUCGGUUUGAAUCUCUUCAAUUCCUCUUUUCUUUAUGUUUUUAGUUGAAUUAUAGGUCGUUUCUUGAAUGCGCUUCGUUUGCAUGUUGUUUCGAAAAUUUCUGGAUUUUUUGGACUUGUUACUGGGGGUAGUAAUGUUUGGAAUUAAAUUCAGUUUAUCCUCCUAAUUUUUGAUGUCAAAAUCAAUUCAGUCCUGCAACUUUUUUUAAAAUCAGUUCGCCCCUUUAACUUUUUUUAAAUUCAGUUUACCCCCUAAUCUUUGAUGUCAAAAUCAGUUCAGUCUUGUAACUUUUUGUUAAAAACGGGUCCCCUUGUCAGUUUGGUGACGUCAUAUUUUAAGGGAAAUUAAAAAAUUGGACAAAACUGAUGUGUUUACAAAAGUUGAAGAGGCGAACUGAUUUUAAAAAAAGUUACAGGACUGAACUGAUUUUACCACCAAAUAUUAGGGAGGUAAAUUGAAAUUUUUUCUAAUGUUUGCGAUCUAUGUCUUGUUGUUGUUUUUAAUGUUUUUGCUGUGCUUUUUUUUGUACUUCUAGCAUAUUACUUAUGUUUUUCAGUCUGUUUUUGUAGAAAUUGACAUUUACUGGGGGUAGUAAUAUUAUGAUCUAUGUGUUUUUGUUUUUUAAUUGUGGUUAGUUGUUGUUUUCAUUGCUUAUUGUUUGUACUUCUAGCAUAUUACUUAUGUUUUUUAAUCUGUUUUUGUAGAAAUUGACAUUUACUGGGGGUAGUAACUUAUGAACCUGUGUGUUUUUGUUUUUUUUGCAGGAGCAUUGUUGGUUCUUUCUGUGUUCAAUUUAUUUUUCCUGGCAAUGGCUUUGUCCUUCUCCUCAAUGAGCUCAUGAAUUAUUCAGACCUUAUUCAAUCCAUCCGAAAACGAUUUAAGUUUUCGUCCAAUGAUUCUUUUCACCUUGAGUAUUCAUCGCCUGCUUGUUCUGCCAUCUAUUUAGAUAAUGAAUUUGAUUUUAAGAUGCUCUUCUGCUGUGCAAAAAUUUAUCAUAUGGAUAAUGUAGUAGUGACAGUAGUCAAGGAUGUCGGGAAAAGUUGUUCAUCAACUAGUGUAGUGGUUGAUGAUUGUGCUGAGAUGAUAGAUGAGAAUGACUAUCUAGGUGAUGCUUUUAAGGAUGGACCUCAGAAGUAUUUUUUGUCGGAUGAAUGGGGUUCAUAUUUGUCACAUGCUGGGCAGAAGUUUGAGAGCAUUGCAGACUUUAGAGAUAAACUGAGGAAGUUUGCUGUUCAAAGUGGUUUCCAUUAUGUGCUAUCUAGGAAUGAUUCAAUUUACGUUAAUGAUGUUUGUGCAAACCAUGAUGUUGACCACUGUGGCUGGGAAGUGCUUAGAUCUGUUGCUUCUAUUAAUCAGUGCUUUUACAUUACGCGGUUUAAUAAUGUUCAUACAUGCAGAGGUAUGAUAAGGAAUCGUUCUCAUCGGCAAUUAGGGUAUAAAAUUGUUAGGACCUGCAUUGAGUCUACUGUCUAUCUGAAUCUUGGUUUGAAGCCCCGUGAGAUCAUGAGCAAUUUCAAGUCCACUUAUGGUUAUGAAAUUAGUUAUAAGGUUGCUUCAAGAGCAAAAAAGAGGUGUGUGGAAAAGAUGUAUGGCUCGGAAUGUGAUUCGUUUUCUAUGUUAAGCUGGUUUAGGGAAGCUGUGUUGGAGACUAAUCCGGGUUCUUCAGUUGUUCUUGAAGUUGAUGAGAGUACCGAGAGGUUUAAAAGGGUUUUUGUAGCUUAUGCCGGCCAAAUUCAGGGUUUCAAGUUCAGCCUACCUGUUUUAUAUGUUGAUGGUGCCUUUGAAAAGAGCAAAUAUAAGGGGCAGAUUCUUGCUGCAACUGGAAGAAAUGGAAACAAAGGUACCUCCUGUUAUUUUACUACCCCUAGUAAUUGUUAGUAAUUUUUCAUGUUUUUAGUUGUACAUGUUAUGUUUUUGGAGUGGAACGCUCCCGUUAGCGAUGCAGCGGCACGCUGCUUUUUAUGUUUCUUCUAUUUUGUUUGCCUUUCGUUUUGGAGCGGAACGCUAGCCCUAGUAAUUUUGAAAAUCUUCAUGCUUCUGAUUUUUUUUUUGUUAGUCUUUAGUUUUGGAAAGGAACACUCCCAUUAGUUGUGCAGAAGCACGUUUUAAUGUGUAUUACGGCCUUUGGGGAUAUUGUUUUGCAAGUUUACUACACCCAGUAGAAGAUUUCUAGGGUAGUAAUCUCUAUUUUAAACGUUACUACCCCCAGUAAACUUUAUUAUUUCGCAUCUAAGUUGAUUUUUAACUGUUUUAAUGUGUAUAAUAGCCUUUGGAGAUGCUGUUUUGCAGGUUUACUACCCCUAGUAGAAGCUUACUGGGGGUAGUCAAUUAUAUUUUUUGCCGCUAUAUAUUUUACUACCCCCCAAUAAUUUUUGAAAUCUUCAUUCUUCUGAUUUGAAUAUGUUUUCUUAUAGUUUUAUGGUUUGUUAGACUUUCAUUUUGGAGCGGAACACUCCCGUUACUACCCCUAGUAAUUGUUUGUUUGUUUUUUUAUUGUGCAGGUUUCUUCCCUUUAGCCUUGUGUUUUUGUGAUUCAGAGACUGAAGAAAACUGGUUGUUUUUCUUCAAGCACUUGAAGGCUUUGUUGGAACCGCAAGGAAGGAUUAUCACAUUCAUUAGUGAUCGUGGUGUUGGUUUGUUGAAAGCAUUUGAUCUCAUUUUUCCUGGUAAUCCUCAUCUUUACUGUUAUCAUCAUUUGCGAUACAACCUUAGUCGAAAGUAUAAGAACAAAGGAGGAGAAAUUGUUGUUGCUGAUGUGUUACAAAAAUUCUUUAAAGUGGCUUAUGCAUCGACUGAGAAGUCUUUCUACUUUCAUUUAAAAAAUUUGACAGAUGAGGGUGGUGCUGCUAUUAUUGAUGAAUUCAUAAGGGAGAUUCCAUUGGAACAUUGGUGCCGUGCUUUUUUUAAAGGUUGUCGGUAUGGGAUUAUGACAAAUGGUAUUGCUGAAUCCUUUAAUAACUGGAUUGUUGCUAAGCGUUCACUGCCCCCUUUCGCUAUGUUAGAUCAAACAAGAAUGAAAGAAAUGAAGAUGAUUUUAGAAAUGAGUGUUGAGUCGAAAUCUUGGACUACCAAGCUUACUCCUAAAAUGGAGAAGAGGCUGAAAGAGCAGCUUGAUAGGUCUCGUGUGUUCAGGGUGAUUGCUUCCCAUGAAAAUGUUUAUGAGGUUAGGAAUGAUAAGUACUCCUAUUCAGUGGACCUCUCUACUCGUACUUGUUCAUGUGUGAAAUGGCAGAUUAAUUGCUUUCCCAUGCGCUCAUGCACUUGCUGCUAUACAAGGUGCAAGACUUGAUGUGUAUGAUUUCAUUGAUCCUUAUUUUACUGCUGAAUACUAUAAGAUGUGUUAUAGCUUUCCUAUUGCACCUCUGAGUAACGUGGAUGCCUCUUGUUCUUCCACUGAGGACUUUAUACUACCUCCUGUUAGAAAGAGACCGGCUGGGAGGCCUAAAUCAAAGAGGAUAGCAUCUGCUGGUGAGAAGAAGCUGAUUCGAUGUGGUCGUUGUAAUAAGAUGGGCCAUCAUAACAAGAAGAGCUGUACGAAAGUUUUGAACAUGUUGUUGUAGUUUCUUGUACAUCCUUCUGGUUGUUAGUGGAUGUUUGAAAUUUGUUGUUUUUUGAACUAUAUUCAGAUUUUUCUCUAUUGUAAGGAUUUUGGUUGAAGAUUUUUGUGAUGUUCAUUAUUGUGGAAUUCUCUUGACAAUAUUAUUAUGUUCAUCUGUCCCAACCAUUAAAGUUCUAAGGGUCAGUAACUUUACACAGGAUCUUUUUAUUUAUUUAUUUUUUUUUUUUCUGUUCUUCCCUCCCAAGUAAUAAACUUUAUUGGGGUUAGUAAUGUUUCCAAGUCGUCAGAUUUACUUGUUCUGCAGUCUAACACAUACUUUACUAGGGGUAGUAAAGUUUCCAGAACCUCAGUUUUUGUUGUUCUACACCCUACAACAUACUUUACUAGGGGUAGUAAUGUUUUCAAAGUAUCAGAUUUUGUUGUUCUGCACCCUAACACAUACUUUACUGGGGGCAGUAAAUUUUUCAGAGCAUAAAAAAACACAUUGUUGAUGGUAGUAAACCGUUACUUUACUAGGUAUUAAAUUCCCUUAAAUUUACAUGAAAGUUUCAAAAUAGAACUUAAAAUUGGAUCUCAGUCUUAGUUGUGAUAUCUGUCCACAAUUCUAGCAAAAGUUACAUAAAUCAUUUGUUUAAUUUCGCAAACUCCUCUAACAUCUUCUUCCUCAUUUGGUUACCGCCUUCUUGGUUUGGAUCUAACCCAGCACACAUUGCCUCCAUAUAAUGUAGAACAAAUGGAUCACAAUCAGACCUGCCAUAAAUCAAAGGGCUAACUAUGUUAAUAACUUAUUUUGACUGAGAAAAUAAAUCUGAAUAUUAAUGUACAUUACUACCCCCUCAUUUAUGCUGUUCUACCCCCCUAACAAAAAUGGUAGUAAACUCUCAAAGCAUCUGGUUAUAUAGUUAUCAACCAUAACAAACAAUGAUACAUGUACAAGAAGAAUAUUCAUGCAUGUACAAUGAUAAAGUUUACUACCCCUAGUAAAGUUUUACUAGGGGUAGUAAAGUUGCCACACCGUUUCUACAUUGCCAUAAAACACAUUGAAGCAGAGAAAUAUGAACCCAGACAACAUUAUUGGGGGUAUAAACACAAAUUUAUGCUAGGGUUUCUUUUCACUUGAAAAAAAAAGAAUUUAACGCGAUGUAGUGGUGGCGAUGGAGUGAAGCAGCGGCGGCGAUGUACUGAAGCAGCGAAGCGGCGCGCGGGGAUGGGUGCUGAGGUCUUGAUGGAGUGAGGAGUGAGGCAGCGGCGUCGAUGGAUUGAAGAAGCGAAGCGGCGUCGAUGGAUUGAAGCAGCGAAGCGGCGUCGAUAGAGUGAAGUGGUGAGAACUGUUGAGAAGGAAUUGAAUUCGGAGUGGGUUCGGUGGGAGAGGGUUGGAAGCGGUUAUUAAGGCUGGGGUAUAACUGUAUUUUUACUAGGAAACAUUGGUUUGGGCUGUGUAAUUUGUUUUUGAUUGGUUUGGGCUAGGAAAAUGUACUAUUUGUGCAUUAGGGCUUUUUCCCUUUUUAAAAUCUUGGCUAGACUAAAUAAUAUUGGGCAAUCUCAAAAGAGAGACUUUUCUUUUCUAAAAGCAUAUUUAAUUAGUGUAGGGUUAGUUUGGUAAAUUAAACCAUGACACAUGGCAUGUAGAGAAAAAAUUGUCCUUAAUUGUCUUUAAGGUUAGUGUUUCAAAUCUUUUUGGAGGAUGUAUAUGUGAUUUGCUAUUUUUUAAAAUCUUGGUUAGACUAAAUAAUAUUGGGCAAUGCUUAAGGAAAGCGCUGGACUACACAGGCGUUUUGUACGCCAAAGUGAGGCCAGCCACGUGGUAAAAUAUUGUCCACAAAAUUUCAAUUUUAAGGGCAAACAAGUAAAUGUCUCAUAUUACUCCUGUCAGCAGUAAGUAUUGCCCGUGAAAAUUUAAGGGAGUUUAGGUCUCUCUUGUCGAUCAGGACGGCGAAGGUGGAGUGGAGGUCGGAGGUCAGUUCGUCGAAGAAGAUGACGAUCGGGUCGACACGCAGCAAAGGAACUCAUCGAUGUCGAUUCUGAUCGAGAUCCGCCGAAGCCGUUGUCGGACCCGUGCAAAAUUGGCUCUGCAAUACAUGGCUGGGAGGAUGGGCUCUGCAAUCUGUUUGGAGGAGAGUGAUAAGAUUGUGAAAGAAAAACUGGUGAGGUGCUUGGAUUGUUCAACCCUAGAGUGGAAUCAGACCCUCAAAUCUUAUUUUGAUUGAGGUUGUGGAGCUAAUGUGACUGCCUGACUGGGAUGGACGUUCCUCUACAUUUCACAAAAAACAGAGAGUCCUCAAAUCCAAUCUCUCUGGGUUAUUAGAUUAGGGUAAAUCAGGCAGUAAAAGUAGUAAAUCAGGCAGUUUACUUUGCCCUUCCGUUAACUACUCCGUCAGGAGUACUGUACGACGCACGUACUGCGGGGGCGUUUGGUACGUGGGACUGGUUGGGAUUGGACUAACUUACAUAAGAAAUUAAGACCAGUCCUGUGUUUGGGUGAUAGAGGGACUCAAUUAAAUGAGCUUAUGAAAGCCCCGUGUCCUCUCCACACCUUCUUACGGAGCGGCCCCAAAAUUGGGGGGAGUACUCAAGCUCGCGGUAGAGAACGAUCGAGAAGCGCUCAUUACUCCAAGUGCCAAAUUCAUUGCCUCUCUCACUCCUCGUCUCACCACUGCUCCAGGUGCGAAAUUCCUCCUCUCAUUGCUUCGCCUCGCCAACUUCAGGUUCGAUCUCCUCCUCUCCUCUCUUACUUUUUUUUUUCUCGAUCUGGAAUUGAGUAGAAGGUCGAUUACCUACAAAAUUGUUUAUGGGUUGUAUGUAUUUGAUUGAUUGAUUAAUGAUUCUUGGUCUGGGUAGCUUGAUUUGCUAAGAAUCGAUCAUUUUCAUGCCUGGGUCUUCUUCUUUUUUCUUUUUUAAUUAAUUCUUUGUUUCUAUGAUUGGANNNNNNNNNNNNNNNNNNNNNNNNNNNNNNNNNNNNNNNNNNNNNNNNNNNNNNNNNNNNNNNNNNNNNNNNNNNNNNNNNNNNNNNNNNNNNNNNNNNNNNNNNNNNNNNNNNNNNNNNNNNNNNNNNNNNNNNNNNNNNNNNNNNNNNNNNNNNNNNNNNNNNNNNNNNNNNNNNNNNNNNNNNNNNNNNNNNNNNNNNNNNNNNNNNNNNNNNNNNNNNNNNNNNNNNNNNNNNNNNNNNNNNNNNNNNNNNNNNNNNNNNNNNNNNNNNNNNNNNNNNNNNNNNNNNNNNNNNNNNNNNNNNNNNNNNNNNNNNNNNNNNNNNNNNNNNNNNNNNNNNNNNNNNNNNNNNNNNNNNNNNNNNNNNNNNNNNNNNNNNNNNNNNNNNNNNNNNNNNNNNNNNNNNNNNNNNNNNNNNNNNNNNNNNNNNNNNNNNNNNNNNNNNNNNNNNNNNNNNNNNNNNNNNNNNNNNNNNNNNNNNNNNNNNNNNNNNNNNNNNNNNNNNNNNNNNNNNNNNNNNNNNNNNNNNNNNNNNNNNNNNNNNNNNNNNNNNNNNNNNNNNNCCAAAAAAAAAAAUAAUGCUGAAGUUGUAUGAAUUGGAGCUUCAUGUUGAAGUUUUCAAAUCUCUUAUUAUUGGAUAAUAGCUUGUUAAUAUAGAAAGAAUAUAGUCCAAGUGCAUCACAAACAUGGGAUAGGACUAUUGUGCUUAUUCUGCCCUUUAGUCCUAAGCAAUACCAAACAUGGGACAGGGAUUAACAUAACAUAAGCCAAGCUUAGAGAGUGCAGGACUAUCAUAAAAAAUAAGCCCGUCUAAGAGAGUCCUGUGUACCAAACGUCCCCCAGGUUUUGCCAAUGCUCAAAUGAUUUUGAAUUGGUCGGAAAAAAAAAAAUUGAUAAAUGACCUAAGUAAAAAACUGGUGCCCAAAUAAGGGGGUAGAAGAGCCGAGCCGCAAAAGCCAAGAAUCUGUAGAGAGGAAUGGAGCGUCUGGCAAACGCGUUCUCUGUGCUCAACCUUGACGUCGAAGACGACGACGAUGAAAUAGGAGGGGCGUCUUCUACUUCCAAGCCCGUACAGGACACUUCAGCAGGUUCCCCCUAAAUCCCAUUCAAUGUUAUUUGAUCACUUACUCAUUCAAUAUUAAAGUUGUUGUUUGCGGCAGGCAAGAGGAACAAGGAAGCCAACAACAUGUUGCUGCCAAAUGAAGAGUACAGGCUGCCCCUUGUAUGGAUUGACUUGGAAAUGACCGGUAAGGAACUCAGCCAGUACAAGUAACUCUAAAGCAAGCUUGAUUAUCAUAAUUUACACAAGCAUGCUAGGACUUGCCAAUUUGGCAUUGCAUUGUGAACUGAUUCUGUUCACACAGACGAAAGGCACCUUCUUGUCCAGAUUAGAAUCCACUAAAAUCUAAUGAGAGAACAAUCACACAACCUAGAUUCCUUCGUGACCUACAUCUCCAGCCUAAUACCUCUCAUGUGGGAUACAUAAUGCGAGUUACAUGGAAUGUUGCACGGGCUUGCAGCAAGAAGCUUUAGAUUAUCAUGUUCUAGGUGGAUGAAAUAGCACAUUAGACUAAAAUGAUAAAAAAACUAUGGCACCUGAUCUUAAAUACCAGCAAGGGAAAAUCAUUUAGGUGCAAUAGGAACAUCUUUUUAUUUUUUUAUAUUGAAAAUCAUUUAUGACUGGGGGACUAAUAUUUCAGAUGCUAGCUACCACAUGUAUGUUUAAAGUGAAAUUUUCUUUUGUUAUCUGUCUCCGGUUUAAUUAACAAUUUCUAUAGUUAUGCCCUAGUAAGUGAACAAAUGAAGAUCAGUUCUCUUCACUUAUAUGCCUUGUAGGUUUGAAUGUUGAAGUUGAUCGGAUACUGGAGAUUGCUUGCAUUAUUACUGAUGGCAAACUAACCAAAUCCAUAGAGGUAUUUCUUAAAUCAAAUUAAUUUGCAAUCUUGCUUUGCAGUAUCUUAUAUUUAUUUUAGGGUUAUUUUGUCUAUAAGCUUUGUUCGUGCCUAUCUAUUUUGGAAAGAUCAAUUAUAGUUUGGUUCCUCUAGUUUCAAAUUGGGUUCUUGUAGUUUUCACUUUGUCAGCCAUAUACCGAGUCUUAGUUAAUGUUGCAAUUGUCAUGGUCACAUAAGAACUUGACUUUUAGGUGAAAGAUACUGCUCCUUAAGGUUUAAGGGAAUGAUGUACAGUGAGGGAGGGUUUUGAGCUAUGGAAGAUAUUGCUUCAAUCAUACUGUUGGUGGUAGCUGCAAUCAUACUGUUUUCUCACAUAGUUUGGUGAAGACAGAAAGAUAUUGCUCCUUUCAUAAAGCAAAAAUCUCAAUGUAGUUUGCCGACCGCUCAGUAGGAGGGGUAAUCUUUUAAGCUUUAAGCUUGAUCAUUGUUGCCUCCUAUUCUGAUCCUUAAUUGUUGACAGAGGUUAAUUGACAGUUCCUUGCUUUUUGGUCGGAAGCUCAGAUGAUGGUUAAACCUAGAAAUCUAUGUCAUCCAUAUGGUGAAGUUCCCCUCUAGGGUUGUCCUAAUGUAGGAAUGACCCACAAUCAGUUGCGAUGAGCCAACAAAAAAUACAAUAACAUUAUCAUCUAGCAAAGCAAAAUUAGUGCUUCCGCCCUGUAAUCUCGUUUGCAAGGCCUUGGAUGAACCCAUAUUGGUCAACCAAAUAUUCUCUUCUAGUUGAACAAAAAACUUGAUUUCCUAUGGAUCUCUUUCUGACAAGGAUAUCUAGUGGUUUCAACAUGUUCUAUGUGGAGGAAACAAUAUGAUUGCAGCUACCACCAACAAUAUAAGCUUUUGAGCUAGGUUUCACCAACAAAAGAAAGACAUGUGAGUUUCUCCUCAACUUCUGAUACAAGACGAGAUUUUGGCAUAUUUCAACAAAGAAUUCCGAAAAGGAAGAAACAUUGUCGCAUUAAGGAGAAUGAUUUGAAUAUUGAUAAUUGGUAUUCAAAUAGGUUUCUUAAUGAUAGAAUUAAUCGUAAAUUACUCUUUUGGAUAUAUCGGGAUUCUCGAGCAAAAUCUUGGUUAAGAUUCCAAAUACAUAUCUGGAAUAAUAUUCUUUAGUAUCUAGGAUUUCAUAUCUUAUUUUUGUUAGGUUUUCUAGUUGUAGUCUAGAAUAGAUUAUGUUUUCUGAUUGUAUCAGAAUUAUUUUACUUGCUCUGUAUAAAGCACCUCCUAGAUUGUAACGAUAGGUGAUUGAUAAUAAUAAACUUGGAAUUUUCUUAUAUUUCCUGGUGGAUUCCAGAACAUCUCGUGGAUUCGAGAAACCUUAGUCUUGGGGAUUCAACAAAAAACUUGGUGGAUUCCAACAUAAUUGCUAGUGGAUUCUAGCUUAUCUCAUAUGGCUUUCGAUGCUUUUUGGAGCCUCAUACUAUUGUGAAUUCGUGAUUACGCUUCCGUAUCAUUCAGUUGCCAAAAUGUGUGGUACAACACAUUGAAGAAGUGUUCACUUCAUCUUUAUCGAGACCAUUAUCGCCAUCGUCAAAAUAAGGAACGUCUACUCUUGUUUUCCUUGUGAUAUCUCCUGAUGGGGAAAUUACAGUCAAAGCUUUUAAGGUUUAUGAGCGAAAUAAAUGGAAAAAGAGAGCACCUAAUCAUUCCCUUUGCAUAUGGCCUGAUUAAUUGCUCUCGAUAUAAAGUUCGCUGCUUGGAGGGAAAGCUAAGUCUGAUUCUAGAGGUCUCUAAGCUUUUUGUGUCUUUUCAGAUUUUCAUUUCAGUUAAGAAGUUUUAAAUUUUCUUUUAUUGGGUCUUAUGCUUCAUUUUUGGAAAUUUAUUCCUAAUGAGUCUUUAAUGCUAGUUAAUCUCAGUUAUCUGCUCUAGUAUAAAUAAGUUCAAGUGCCGAAUGGCUGGUCAUGUUAUGUUUAGAUGAAUAAAAAAACAAAUAUCAGAGUGUUUCUGAGUUUCCUGUUACCGGAUUGGUGUGAAACCUAGUUUUGGUGAGAAACCUGGGAGUGAUUCCUAAUUCAAAGUGUUCAGUGGUUUAAAUUCGUAAGCCUUAGAGUUUGUUGAUCCUGGUGUGUAGGCAGUGAGAAUACUGCAUCAUCUCCUGUUGGAUCAUGUGACUCCCUAUCACCUUGAAAAAAUCCUUAGACAUUUUCCGGCAUUUAUCAUUGUUGGGACUUCACUUCUGGUUCUUUCUCGUCCUUCUUGCUAGUAGUAUUUUCAAAGUAUCUCCUCGACGGCUGGUACUGUUAGGAUUUGAACCCUUCGAGGUUCCAUGACAGCUAUUUGAGUGUAUGUUGCAUCAAGUUGCUGCAUAAUUAGAAACAACAUAGCAUCUCACUGGUUCUCAGUCAAUCCCUCACUGGUGUAAGACAAGUAGCAGUGUAGCAGAAAACCUUCAGAAAUGAUUUUCUUUGUAGCUUGUAAAUGAGUAGAACAAGGUGAGAAAAAUCUAGAGUAGGAAAGAACUACUAGCCUAUCACCAGUAGGGUUCUAGGCUUGCACUCAAACACAGGGUGAUGUUGCAUCACGCAAACCUGGAGAUUAGUAAUGGCUUUCAAAUUUUCGUCAACCAUGAAAUUUGUCUCUAAAAGAUACAAUGAACCAUUUUCUUGGUUGGAGCCAACAUAAGUACACUAAAAAAUAAAUAUGUAGGAGGAAUGAUUUUAGUAAGGUGGUGGCAUUAGUUUAAUUUUCUGCUUAAUCCGAUCAUAGCAGAUCUCAAGUAGGGUUAACAUCAUGUAGGAGAGCCAGAGUAGGGCAAGGUCAUGGAAUCUUUUUACGAGGCCUUGGACUAAAAUCAUAGCGGUUGUGUUGCUUAUGUUCUUCAUCAGGGAGCAGGGCUCCUUGAAGGUUUAGCUUCUUCAACUUGUAUGAUCUCAAGGAUGAUUAAAACAAAAUGGAUAUGGGAAGUGGUAAUGAAACCUGUACAAGUGAAAACAAUUUUUUUGGUUUAUUGGAAUAUUAUUAGUUAUUCUGUUUCUGAUUUAUAUAUCUAUUCAUUUGUUGUGUCACCACCUUUGCAGAAUUUUAAUUUUAAGUAUUCCUACCUAGCCUUUGCAAGUAAUUUCCUAUUUCCCCUCCUUAUUAUAAUUGUUUCCUCUUUUUUAUUUAGGUUUUUUGUCCUUUCAGGGCCCUGAUCUGGUUAUUCAUCAACGUAAGGAGUGUUUGGAUAGGAUGGGAGAGUGGUGUCAAAUUCAUCAUAAAGAUAGUGGUAAGUAGAGUGGUAAAAGUAAUCGUCAUAAUUUCAUUUCAUAUUUCUAUCAAUGUCAAUGUACUACCCUUAUGGCAUGUGGUACAAAAUUCUAUUAACAGAUUGAUUAUUAAAUUUUUUUUUUUUUAUUAAACUAGGGUUGACAGAUAAAGUGCUCCAAAGUACAAUCAGUGAAGGAGAAGCUGAAAAGCAGGUAUGUAAGUACUCCAUCAGCCGUGUGCUUUCUUGUAAAGUCUUUAAUUUAUGCUAAUUGUAUAUACCAAGAUGUCAUAAGCAAUAGCUACCAUGUUGCCUGGACAAGAGAAGUGAUAUGAAAUGUCACUACACAUAUAACAGUAAAUUGAUACAGAUAUUUAUGGGACUAUCAACGGCUAAGAUUGGACCUGACAUGCGAUUUUUUUUAUUCAAUUACAUAAUCUAUCUCUCUCUCUCUNNNNNNNNNNNNNNNNNNNNCUACUACUCUCUCUCUCUCUCUCUCUCUCUCUCUCUCUCUCUCUCUCUCUCUCUCUCUCUCUCUCUCUCUCUCUCUCUCUCUCUCUCUCUCUGUUAGACGCAUUGAUUUCUUAAUUUGUAUCUGUACAUGUGUAAAAACCUAAAGAGCACCUAAUGUAAAUUCAAAUCUUUCAUUUCUUCCUCAAACCCUCUGAAUUAUUCCUCAAUACCAUUUUUCUAUUAACAAUAUGGACGUUGGGUUAUGACAAAAGUGAGAAGCAGAAUAUGUUAGAUGUGAACUUUGAAUUACAGUUUUUGCAUGAAAUUGGGUUUUGCGGUUCGAAAUUAGGACUUUGAAUUAACUAUAAUCUCUAUUAGUAUUUUUUCACUUGUACUCUUAACUACUGAAUGUUGAUAGGAGAAGAUGGCAAUGGGAUUGAUCGGACAUUCCCAACCCCCAUCUCUGUUCUGAAUCAUGACUAUCUCCAUCUUUCACUUCAGAUUCUUUAGCCUCCACCUUUACUAAUUCCUAAAUCAGGGAAGCCUCCUCGUAGGAUUGAAGUAAAAGCUCUUCUAUUUUCAUUUUUUAUUUUCACUAGAAUUACUUUUAAAGAAGUAUACUUUUAACUAAAUAACAACAAAGCUGGAACCUUUAGGCCUGUGGAAAACAAAUUUUGGUACGCAUUUGCUGUUCUCUAAUUUCUUUUUGGUAAAGAGGCAACUUCCCUGAAAAAAAAGAGAAAAAAACCAUAAUAUUUAACCAUGCUCUUUAGCUGGCAUUUCAGACUUGUACACAUGCAUUUGUAUUUAUAUUCUAGUUGCAUGCAUCAUUCUUUGUAUUUUAUGUGUAAUUCGUAUAUGCUGAAAUCCUGCAGAUCAUAGAAUUUGUAAAGAGAAACAUUGGAACGUAUAAACCUCUUUUAGCAGGAAACUCAGUUUAUGUGGACUUCGUAUUUUUGAAGGUAAGCUCUUUCAGUAUAUUUUAUUAUGAAAGGCUAGAGGUUUGAGGUUGAAUAAUGUCUUUUCUCAUAAUUAUCGAUAUGAAGUUCCAGUAUGUCAAUUACUCAUCAUCAGAACUAAUUGAUUGUAAAAAAUUAAAUACCAUCAAUAUUAGGAAUUACUUGUGCACCUACUAGUUCUCCUUACCCUCUAUUGCUAAAAGUUUAAAAUUUGCCUUCUGUCACCGGCCACAGCCCCAUACUAUAGUUUGAGAUGCAGUUAUAAGAAGUGCUUAAAGGAUUGGUUGAAGAUUGGAGAUUUAAAUAGCAAGGUACUACAGUUUGAGAUGCAGUUAUAAGAAGUGCUUAAAGGAGAGUUUGGUUGAAGAUUGGAGAUUUAAAUAGCAAAGUCUUUGUUCCACUGUGUGUGGCUCGUAAUUCAUGGCAAGUUGAGGUUUAACUGUUUUGUGCAUAGUAUUACAUUGAAAAAAGUAAUAAAACAGUAAAAAGUUAUAGUACGGUCAUCCAUCAGUCAGAAAGAUUUGAAAACCUAAUAGUAUUAUCCCACGUAAAUAGUAAACACCUAAUAUCAAUAGUAAAAUCCCUACAUAGUCAUGAUUAGGGGUGGACUCGGUCCCAACGGUUCGGUUUUUAGGCACUAACCGAAAACCGAAACCGAAACCGAAGCUUCGGUUUUCUAUUUUCUAGAACCAAAACCGAUAAAAAUAUAUAAAAGACCGUACUCGUCAGUUAACCUAACAUCGGUUCGGUUUCGGUUACAAAACCUAUUAUCCGUAAUAUUUUUUACACAACCAAAUAACAUAAAAAAUAAAAAUAUCGAAGUUGUAAACUAUCAACACUUCAUAUAAGUUAAUCUAACGGGUUCAAAUAAGUAAUCCAAAUGAAAAGGGAAGCUAAAAUUUAUACAUAAUUCAUUUGAAGCCUCCAACAUUCAUAUAUAACAAAAGAUAAAACUACAUGGGAAUGAUUUUGGUUAGACUUAAACACUUAAAGACAUAAUCAUGUGUGUGAAAGCCUACUAUUUGUAACCCAUAACCGAUACGAACAUGACACGUAAUAUAGAAUUAAAGUAUUAAUAAUUAAAAUAUGUAGAAUGAAUAUAUGUCGGUUCGGUUCGGUUCGGUUUAAUCGGUUUUUGAGGAUGCAUGGAACUACAAACCGACACCGCACUACUCGGUUUGUGUGGUUUCUGGAACCGAUUGCCUCGGUUCCAUUCGGUUUCGGUUACUCGGUGUCGGUUCGGUGCGGUUUUAACGGUUUCGGUUUUUUCAGUGCCUAAAAGUCCACCCCUAGUCAUGAUCAACCAGGGAUCAUUCCAAACGUAAUCUGAUCCAGGGUUUUCUCAAAAUCAAGAGAUUAGACAGCAAUAGAAGAACUCCACUUCAAAAAUUGAAAUUGCUCUUCUCCUCACCACUGAAAGCACCAUUCUUCCGUUGUUUCUCUGGAAUUUCCCAAAUUAUCCUGGUUAUCUACUGAUUGGGGGUUGAGACAUCUGACAUACUGGACCAGAGUUACAGAUGUCUAUGCUAUUUUACAGAAUUUGAUGAAAUUGAAAAGGAGUUGCUGAAAAUUACCCGAAUCCAUCUUUUCACGUUUAAUCUGUCCAAAUCAAAGCAAAAAAGCGCUGAUUUACUUGGGAAGAAAUAGUAGUGAUACCCAGCUAUUCAGCAAAUCAUAAAAUUCUAAUCGGCUAACUAUUUACUGUUCAAUUCAAGUAGUGGGCAGGUCAAAAGAGCUAUACAAAACCAUCUUUGCAACUACAAUUCAAUCGUACUUGCGGAUCUUGACACAUGUUUCUUUUUGAGUGGCGGAUAUAUUGUGUGACCUAUGGUUUAAACCUUUGGAGCUUCAAAUGUUUCCCUCUUAAAUAUAUGGUGAUAUGGAGGUUGAAAGCAGCUGUACUUAGAUGGUUGAUGAGACUUCUGGGAUGUGUCUAUCAUCUCUUUUCAGUUUUUGACGUGAAGGAUUAAAAAAAAAGGGUUUUCUGGCUGGGUGGUAAUGGUAGCCAUGGCAAAGUGGUGGGAGAGGUGAUGGUAUCUUCUAUACUUUUCUUUUUUAUUUUCUUUUUACUUCUUAUCGGAAAGGGGUUCCGAAUUACCUCUUAAGUACUAAAUACUGUCAUGUGCAAUAAAUGUGGUCCUUAUUCAUGCCAUUUUUUGACGGAGUUUACGGAGGUACCUUAAUGUACGCUUCAUUUCAAUUUUGGGUACUCAUCUUGUUGAUUGCGGAAACUUCAAGUACUCGGUGGUAAACUCUGUUUUUAACCUACAAAUCUGGAAAUUUAAGUGUUAGAAAUGCAAACUUGUUUACAUAUAUUGUGUCUCCAUAUCAAGGUGUUUGGAUUGGUCUAUUUUGUAACUGUAAGCGAAUCAUUUGAAAACAUAAAUGUAUUUGGUCUGUCACGGUUGUACAAGACCAGUUCAGAUUGGCCCUGGUUAAUGAUGCGUAUCAACACCUUGCACCAAAGAUCUUAUCAUUUCCAAAGAAACUUUGUGUUUGUUAUAGGGGGCUACCUUUGGUUGGAUGAGUAUUAGGUUUUGGUGUCUCUUUGGUGGGUUUAUCUUGUUGUAUUGGGUUGAAAUGGACCGAGACAAGCUCCAAGUGGCAUUUGAUACGGGCUGGGAUUUUAGUGUAUUUUUGUCUUCGUGUUGAAAACAUGUUAAAAACACUUCUUGUUACUUUUGGGUGGUGUUUGUAAUAAUUCAACUCCUUGUACAUUAUAUUUGUACUUUCUACAUAAUGCUUGAGCUAUUUCCUUUGCCACCCAUGCUUUUCGUUAUUGUGUUACAAUUUUUAAAUUAAAUCAACCCCACAUUUGCUAACUGGCUUUUUUCAUGGCAGAAAUACAUGCCAGAUUUGGCCAGCCUGUUCUCCCAUGUAGUAGUUGAUGUUAGCAGUGUUAAAGCUCUAUGCAUUCGCUGGUAUCCUAAAGGUAAACCUUCUAAAAUGGACAGUAAAAUAUCUCUGCUUUUUCUGCACCAGUUGGGAGGCAUGUAAAAUUCUUUGAAAAGUUUUUUUGUACAUGAGUUAAUGAUUUUUAUUAUUUAUUCCUGUAUUAUAUGCUUGGAACUUCCAACUAGACAAGAGUUUGAAAUGGUGGCAUAUACUAUACAAUGACCAGUCUAAUUGACUUAGUUUUAGACUUUUAGACAAGAGUAAUGCCUGGUCAGAUGAUGUUGUUGCAGUGUUUAAAUGCCUAACCAGUUGCCACAAUAUGUGUUAAAUAUUGUACAAGAAUAUGUGGUCUGCUUAAAAUUGGUCUUUCUUCCUUCUCCGCCCUCUACUCUCCUUGUAUUGUUGUCACCUUGGUUGGUUCUGUGGUUUUCCAGAACUUGGAUUUGGCCUUUUUCUUCCUGCUCUGUUUGUAUCACAGUAGUGUUUAGGGUGGUACAAUUACAUAUGUAAAUUCAGUACUAUUUGGAGUAUCAUGUUGUACAGGAGUAAUGUUGUUAUUGGUUCACAGAUAAUAAGAAAGCACCUUCUAAAGAAAAUAAACACAGAGCCCUGGAUGACAUCAGGGAAAGCAUCAUGGAACUGAAAUACUACAAGCAGAAUAUUUUCAAAGCAAGUAGAAAGUGAUACACAUAAUGCUUCGAAGCAUUUGGAUUGUUUAUUGAGGUUUGGUUUGAAGAUACAUCUAUAUCAGCUUCUGUAGAGUUGCUGCAGGAUUUGUAAAUGACAUAGUUUAUUUGAUCUUCAACUUAUUAGAAUUUUGUACUGAAAAAUCAGGUCGGAGCUUGUACUCCAAGUUAAAGUUCCGAAAAAUAUACUGGAUUUUCCUGUGUUUCUUGUUACCGAACUUAUGCACAUUAUGUAAUUAUAUAGAUUUUGAUAUGCGACAAGUUUUCUUGUUUGAACAAUUACAAUUGUGUGAUCUAACGAUCUUCUUAAGGCAUCAAAUGCAAUCCAAGUACAAUGAUUGUGUUAUAUGUGCUUUGGUUUGCCUUGGGGUGAAAUGGAUUGAUGGACAUUUCUCUGAGUAUAGAAGUGCUUUAUUAAGCUGCAGUUCCGUUCCGUGCCAAGAGAAAACAAUCGCGUUAGAAGUAGGAUGUCCGGAGGGCUUUGACUUGACGUUCAAGUCCUCCUUAUGAACGUGUAUACGCGGCCAUGUAAACCCAGCGGCUCUCGUUAACGUUUGUAAGAUGAAGUUCACAGAUACUGAUGAUGUACGCCGAAGGUCAUGUCUUUGGUGUGCGCAGGCUUCUCUUGUCAUAUUUGCCAACAUCGAGCUUCAUGUUGGUUAUCUUUGGCUUGACCCGUGCACCAGGUCUGCAGCUUCUCUAGCUUGCAUGAUUACUAAUGUUUUUCGUUCAGGGUUAUUGAGAAGUUUAGGGUUCUAUAGAAAUUGUUCUUCUAUAGAAAUUGCACAUGGAUAUAGCCCUUUAUUUUGGGGUGAACCACGUAAAUCUUUGGUUUUUUUAAAUUUUCUGUUUACUUUAUCUUUAUCUUUUCUCAUAUUUCCGCACAACAAACUGGUUACGUUUGGGGUUAUCAAAAGCUACGAAGGAUGGAAAAGUAUGAUGAAAUGAGUCUAUAAUUAUCACUAAAGAGAACGAGGCUCUUCUAUCCAAAGGCAGAGAAUGAUGCUGGUGGGGAUGGUACCAGCAAUGAGGCAGGAGCAGAACCGCCUAUACAUGUUUCAAAAGAAAAGAAAAUAAAUAAAUAACCGCCUAUACAGGCACUUGAUAAGUGGUAUAUUUUUAAGGUUCGGAUAAACUAGAAGAGACUCGGUUUUGUUCCACUUGAUCUUCUACUAUUGUGAGAAACAAUUAGGGAAAAUACCCAUUUAGUACUAAUUCAAACCCCUUAUUUCACAUUCCAAUGAUAAUCUUUUGCAUUAGCCCAUUCCAAUAUAAGGUAACAAUUUUUAUGCCCAAAUACAUAAAUCUUUACUAAAGUCUUAACAAACCAUAUUAUUUUAAGACUAUUUUACCCCCACCUCUUUAACAUGAAAAGACUUGGCCGGAACCUCGGACUCCGGUCACCGGCCGCCGGACACCGGACUCCGGUCACCGGCCACCGGAUUUUCCCCGACCGCCGGAUUCCGGUCACCGGAUUUUCCCCUGUAACCAGUUACUGACCCCCAAUAAUCAGUUACUGACCAGUUAAUGACCCAUAAUAACCAGUUACUAACCCCCAGUAACCAGUUAUUGAUUAAUUACUGACACCCAAUAACCAGUUACUGACCCCCAGUAACCAGUUACUGACCCCCAAUAACUUUUAGUUUUCAGUUACUAACACCCAGUAAUCACUUAGUUUUCAGUUACUGACACCCAGUAAUCACUUAAUUUUAGUUACUGACCCCUAAUAAUCUUGGUUACUGACCCCUAAUAAUCGGUUACUGACCCCUAAUAAUCUUGGUUACUGACACCCAAUAACCAGUUACUGACCCCCAAUAAUCAACUUAUUUCAGCUAAUUGUAAUAGAAAAGAAGAAAUACCAGAACAUAAUCGAGUUACUGACCCCCAAUAAUCAACUUAUUUCAGCUAAUUGUAAUAGAAAAGAAGAAAUACCAGAACAUAAUCGAGUUAUUGACCGUCAAUAAUCAAUCAAAACUACAACACGAAUAAUCAAACUACCUAUCAGCUACAAAAAUACAACUACACCUACCGCAGAGCCACGCACCCUCACACAUCGGAUCUACUCCCUUACCAUGCACCUUCCCUCACCGUACACCUCCCUCAUCAAAACUGCUUCACCUCCCUCACCACGCACCCGACGCCUUCGAUCUGGCCAUGGAGGCGGAGGCGGAGGCGGAGGCGGAGGCGGAGGCUGCCUAUGAACCUGCUCGUUGGCCCAGUCGAGCAAGCGGGACGAGUACAGGCGGGACGUCCUCGACGUAGCCGGAGGGAGCUUCGCUACAUCGUCACCGGAGAAGGACAACACCGGAGAUGAUGACGAAGUUUGGCGAGCGGCACAACGUUUUGGAUCUGCUGCCGGGGUCGGAUGAGGGGGCUCGAAGAAGGAGGACGUUGACGAGCGGCGUUGAUUUCCGGCAACGGUGAAGGAGGUUGCAGAGGUAGGAUUAGAGAUUUGAUACUCGUUGCUCGUCGUCGCAGCAUCGACGCAGGUGUUGUUGAAGCAUAAGCUGCAUUGGCGUCGGCAGCGGCUGCGUCGGUGGCGUCAUUGCGUCGUCCAGGAGAGAGAGAGAGAGAGAGAGAGAGAGAGAGAGAGAGAGAGAGAGAGAGAGAGAGAGAGUAGAGAGAGAGAGAGANNNNNNNNNNNNNNNNNNNNGAGAGAGAGAGAGAUGGUUGGUUUGAGAUUGGAUAGUAAAUGAUUGGUUGAUAUGAAAUGAGGGUAUACUUGUCUUUUUAAUAAGAAUCAUUGGAAUGGGUUAAGGGAAAAAAAAUCAUUGGAAUAGGCUUUAGUUUUUAAAUAUUUGGGCAUUAGGGCAUUUUUCCAAACAAUUAUCACUGGUUUCUUUGUCUAAUCUUAUGAAUUGGUUACAUUUUUGUGAUUAUCAACUGAAUUAAUGUUCUCAAUGCCACAAGAUCGUUCACAAAGAGUAUAGACACAAUUGUAUUGCAUAUAUGAUAAGCGAAUUAUAAUAAACACAUGUACUCGUAUAAACGUUAAAACCUUGGGAAAAUACCCAUUUAGUACUAAUUUAAAUUAUUUAUUGCCCAUUUCAAUGAAUCUAAUAAACAUGAGCCAAUUUCAAUAUAAGAUGUUCUUAUUUGUGCCCAAAUACACAAAUCUUUAUUAAAUUUAUAAUAAAAAAUAUUUUUGAGACAUUUUUACCCUUAUCCCUUAUAUACACUUAGAGAGAGAAAAAAUAUAAGAGAGGGAAGACUUUGCCGGAGCCUCCGGACUCCGGUCACCGGAAUCUCAUCGCUGGAUUUUCUCUGAUCACCGUCGCCGGACUUUCUCUGGUCAUUGUCGUCGGAUUUCUGCCCCCCAAUAAUCGGGUUACUGACCCCCAGUAAUCACCUUAUUAAGUUACUAACCCCUAAUAAUCAAGUUAUUGAUCCCCAAUAACUUAAUUACUGACCCCCAAUAAUCAACUUAUUUCUCCCAUCGCCGGAUUCCGGUCACUGUAAACUCGGUUACUGACCCCCAAUAAUUGAGUAAUGAUUCCCUAAAAGGCUAUUGGCCCCGGGUAACACAAUUACUGACCCCCAGUAACUCGAGUUACUGACCCUCAGUAAUCGAUUACUGACCCCAGUAAUAGAGUUACUGACGUCCAGUAAUCGAUUACUGACGCCCAGUAUUCGAUUACUGACGCUUAGUAAUUGAUUACUGACCCUCAGUAAUCGAGUUACUGUCGCCCAGUAAUCUGCAACUAACCCAAUAAUCAUGUUAAAAUAUACUUUAUGUUCAAAAAUCACUAUAUUAUGAUUUCUAAACUAAAAAUUUGCAAAACAAAACAACGUAUUACAUCAAAUCUGGAUUAGCUAGAAAUCUGGAUCAGUUCUAGCUAAUCGCAUAGUUAAUUACUUUUUUUGAUCUUGUCAAGAGCGAGAAUGAGUGACUUCCUCCUUAUCUUGUUGAAAUACUGCAAAGNNNNNNNNNNNNNNNNNNNNAGAGAGAGAGAGAGAGUUUUCAAAGGAGGAGGAUGAGAGACUGAGAGUGUAGAUCGGGGGAAGGUUGAGCAGGAGAUAUUAAGUUAUGGGUAAUGUUGUCUUUUUGAUAUGAAUAAUUGGAAUGGGCUCUUGAAUCUCUGUUCUUGACUAAAUCUGUUCUUGACUAAAUGGACAUUUUCCCUAAAACCUUUGAAGCCUUCGACCGUAUCCGUGUCAAGCACAAGGCUUCUACAAUUCUCCGAGGUUGAGUUUCUUAUGUGUAUCUUAUUUGCAUCCCCCAUAAAGGAAGUUCAAUAGGACUCAACUUCACUCUUAAGAAUCCUAAUGAUAUCGUAUCUGUGUCAUUAAGACAAUAAUCAACUAAAAAGAUUUCUGUAGUUCUGAUUCCAUAUCCUUCUUAUUAUUUGGUCUAAAUCAAUUAUCAACUGUUGUCAACUCUAAUAAACAUGUGAUAAGUCCAUAUAUUUUCUUACAAUUUUAAGAUGCCUUAAAGCUCACAUUGUGGCUAUUAAGCCAUAUUAACAAAUGUAACUGUUUGGGUGUUAUUUUCAAAUGUAACUGUUUCAGUGUUUUCCUCUAAAAAUGAAAACACCGAGUAAUACGUCCUCUUCUAAAACCACAAGUGAGAGAACUAUCAAUAGUCAUCUCCCUGUCUGAAAAUGUGCUAUUGAAUGGUAAAAACAAGCAUUUACACAAUGGUUCGAAUUUUCAUGCUUUCCAAUAUUUCAAUGGAAAACAACUGAGGAUUUGUCGCUGUAAAUCUACAGGAGAGAAAAGAAGCUACCCAAAAGAAAAAAAGAAAAAAAAAAAGAAUGAAGAUAUAGAGCAAUCCUUGAUGUAGCAUCAUGACAAAAUUGAUUACAAUUAAGACACUGAUUUUAUUUCAUUCUAGCAUGUCCUCCUCAGUCUUCCAAACAACGUCCUCCAAGCAGGUUGAGAGGUUCUUAUAAAACUGCAAGGAAAUACCAAGUUAUUUCACUUUCUACAACUUUGUUUGUUUGUUUGUUUUUUUUUUNUUUUUUGAGAAUCACUUUCUACCACUAGUGGUCAAACUAUUAUUGGAAAAAAAAAAAUCAGUUGAAUGUCUGGUUUUAUAGUACUAUCACCGAUAUGAUAGUUUUAAUCACCAUGAGGUGAACCAAAUUAAACAGUCAAAAACUUGUACAAAACUUGACCUCAGUCAGAUAUACGCGUAAAUAAGUAGAACCAUAAAGUCACAGGGUAAAUAAUGAAAUAUGCGGUAAAUAAUGAAAUAUGCAAAAUAAAAUUACAAGUACAGAAAAAAAAAUCCUUAAAAAAGGCACAAGAACAAGGAAAAACUAACAUCAAGUAACCAUGUAAUGUCACGAUUAUACAACAAGCACCAACGUAUAUAUGUAUACAAUGAAAAUCAAGAGAAGAGAGGAUACCUUG
rnacentral:lncRNA from 1 species